CGACGGAGGGGUAGGGGGAGGAGAGGGGGGCAGCACCGUGCCAGUGGGAACCGGGGGCUGAGGAGGAGGCGACGGCGGCAGGGCCACCUCAAUGAACUGCACGAUGGACACCAGGACCUGGAUGUAGUAGUCAUCCUGCUGCAGGUCGCGACGGCUCAUCUCGUUCAGCUUGCGGUACAGCAGCGCGGGCAGAGCAGCCUCGGCGUCCAGCAUCUCCAUGAUCUCGUCCUCGUUGGCGGCAUAGCUGCCCUCGUGGAUCAGGCCGGUCACACCGCUGCCAGAGCCGAACAUAUCAGCCACCUCGGAGCGAUCGUACACCUUGGCAACGUUCUCCAGAGCCAUGCGGCGCCUCUUGGCGGGGGUGGUGUCGACCGUGAUGGUGAUCACGGUGCCGUUGCGGUACACAAACAGGAAGCCACGCACAACAAUGGCCGUCGCGUUGACGCCCAGGGCCUUCGCGUAGGUGUUCUGGAUGUCAUCGACCAGACUGUUGAUGGCGGUCUGGUUCUUCUGCAGGUCCGCGGGGUCCUGGUCGCCGAUGGUCUGGUUCUGAUAAGUGACCACGAAGUCCUCGACCACCUUGGCAAUGCCAGGGGGCAGGGGGGGAGGGCUAGGGGGAAGGGGCGAGGGCGGGCUGGGCGAAGGGAUGGCCGUCGGCGAGGGGCUGGGCGAGGGCGACGGGGAGGCAGACGGGGAGGGAGAGGGAGAAGGAGAGGGGGAGGGAGAGGAGGAGGGGGAGGGAGAGGGGGAAGGGGAGGACGAGGGGGAAGGAGUGGGGGCGGGGGAGGGGUAGGUGCCGGCGGCGCUCUGCAGGAAGCGGCGCACCACCUCGGCAGCCUCAUCGGCCACGUCAGCGGCGGACUCCAGAACGGAGUCAACGGCCUCGGGGUGCUCGUCAGCGUUGCCCUGAGCGGGGACCACGUAGGCACCGGCGGCGAAGUCAGACACCAGCUUCUCCAGCAGCUCGCCCCAGCGGGCCUUGGCGCCCUCCUUCCAGCUGUAGCCCAGAACGACCACAGCGCCGGACACGCCAGCCUUGCCGAAUGCCUGAGGAAUGAGGGAGCGGGAGCAAAGAGAGCGAAACAUGAGCGAACGCACGACAGCAAGGAUAAAUGUUGUGGACACGCUGUGGGGUGCUGUUACGGUGUUUCAUGUGUGCGAGUCACGUUGCGUCCACCCACAAGCACGUGUUCUACACGCCAGUGCGCACCCACCUGAGCGGCGACCUUCAUCUCGUCACCAGCUGCGGUGUACAGAGGAAUGGUGAAGGCCUCAACGUCCUCGUGGCGGCACCAGGUGUUGAAGCUGAUGGUCUUGGCAUCCUCCAGCGAGGCGGGCCAGGCGUCCUGGGCCUUGGACGAGAAGAAGCUGGAAGCCUGCUCCGCCAGCAGCGGCACGCCCUGGGACGACUUGGAGUUGCAGCCGGCGUGCUUGCACACGGACCAAGCGCCUGUCAGUAACCGGUUAGAGGGCGGCACCAAAAUUCAGUCAUCAGAAUGUCACAACCAACUAACAGCAAUAUGUCAGAGCCAUUGUCCCAGGUGUAACCAAGGCUUACCCUGGUAGCCCAGCGCCUUGGCGACGAACUCGCGGUCGGCCUCCACAUUACCGCCGAGCAUCACAACCAAGCCGCCGUUCUCGACGAAGCUGGCGACCGCCGACAUGUCCUCGGCAGCGGAGUAGAAGGUGUGGCCGUUCUGGGCGGGGAUAACGUAGGCGUCCACGCCGGUUAGGCGGGGCUGGCCAUCAGCGGUGACCUUCAGGUCAAAGCCAGCCUGAACCAGCUGCUUCUGCAGGUUGCUAGGACCGUUGUUCCACUUGAGAUCGAGGACGCCGUCAGACUCGCUCAUGUAGAGGGCGACGCGCGAGGAGGCCUGGGCUCCUGCCAGUAACGCGAGCGCUAGUGCCAGGGCCAGAGGCCCGGCACACGCGCAGUUAAAGCGCAUUCUAGGCAACAACAACGGCUGUGAUGAGUACUCAAGGAGAGGCGUUGAGGUGGCUUGAGUCGCGAUGAGUUACGUGGAGGGAGGUCCCUUACGACCAGCCCAAGUGCUAUAGUUCAGCACGAGGGGGCGACUUUGAACCUGGUUAUAAAUGUAUGCAGCCUGCCGCGCGUGUGACUCUAAGCGCUUCUCGCCACCGCAAUUGCGCCCAUGCGCCCUCCGUCUGACCUGGUCUGACCGUCCGCCCGCCGCGCGGCAGGACUGUCUAUUUAUGUUGGACAAAUUGUGGCCCCAGUCACAUUGCAUGCAGAAGCGAUCAUGUAGUUCGAUUGUGAAGUAGAGAGUGAGACUAAUGUCAAAGCGCGGUUGCUAAGUAGCGCGCGAGCGAGGCGGGCGGUGUGAGAGGAGUAAUUGGCCAUUUUCAUCGCCUAUACUACAAGGCUUUUGAGCACCUCAAUAUUUACUGUGUCCUAGUCCUGCCCUGUGCUGAAGUGACAGGCUGAAGCCCUACCUCAACACGUAUCAUCCAGUUAGAGGGUAUUGUAUGUUUACAUAACACAGCUGGCUCGCAUGGAAAGGCAUUUGUGUUCCUUAUUGCAGUCGGUCAACGUGCCAGGUGACCCAGAGAAUAGUGUGAGGGCACUUGCCAGGGGUUUCCUUUCUGGAGACGUCUGCGCCAGAAUGCACUGGCUCCGACGCCCAGCAGGUUUGGGCCCGGUGGGCCGGGCAAGCCUACCGUACACCGCUGGAUAAAGGGGCACCUGCGAGGCACCUGCAUGGCGUAGCUGACUUUGGUUGGGCUCAUCGUGGGGUCGCGUGUGCCAGCUUUAGGCGUCGCGGCCGUACAGCAAGGGGUUCCCCUGCGUACAGCUGCCAACUUGAGAGAGGGGGUCAGGAAGGGGUGUCAUCACACACGUCUAUUAGCUGCCCGAGUCUCCCACCUUAAAUCUGGUGUCAUGCCUUGCCGCUGCAACCUGCUGACCGGCCAGCAGCGAAGUCCGGCAACUGAGGCAAGGAUGGAAAAGGUCGGCGGGUGGCAGUGGCACCGGUGCUGGUAGCGCCACUGCCUGUGGCUCAAUGGUGCCUCCGCUUCCAAGGCCGCCGCCGCCUCCAAUGCCUUUCGGAGCUGCAGCCGCCGUGCUGGUGGAUCCGCGGUCGGCUUCGGGGCGGCGUAGGAGGCCGACGGCCUCGCUGGGGCCCCGCCGCCAAGCGCGCGGACACCCGCGCCGUCGUGGCCGCGGGCUCCGGCCUGCGGUUUGGUUUUCUUCUGCCGCCCCCUGGGCAGCGGCCGUUGCAGUUGGCGGCUGGAGAGGUCGGCGGCGCUGCUGGGCGUACGAGCAGCUCUCUGGGUGCCGGAGGCGCGCCUAUCGGUGCUGGUGGCGGCGAGCCCAGCGGUGGCGCUUUGGCACCUGUUAUUGACGAGUGUUGCGGAACUAAUGCGUACGUAGACCAGAGCGGAAGGCGGAGUGGGCUUGCAGGCGGCACGAGAGUAGGCAGUCAGUAGCUCAGGUUGCGAAAGCACAUGUUACCUCGUAACCGACGGUAAACGGGGAUGGGUUCAGUCCAUAAAGUGGGUGGUGGCAAUCGUGCCUACGGCGGGGCCGUCCUGUCCGCAAUGGACGUCACGGCCUUGCUGGCUGCCAGCGAUGAGGCCCCCAGCCAGUCCUGCAGCAGGCACAGUGGGCUGCGAGUGAUUGGUAUGCGCGCAGUGAAUGUGCAGCCGUGGCCCGACCUGGGCGCGCUCUGAUUCUGAGUUACAUCCGCAGUGAGGUCUGCGCCUGGGGGCGGGACUGGGGGGCGGACGAUGGCCCUCUCGUGUGAUGCCCGCCGGGCCUGGUGCUGCAUGCAGCUGCUGCUAAUGGAGUUCGCGGCGCGCGCGGAGGCGGAGUUGUUUCGGGGGCUCUGUGAGCGGCCCUUCUAGUGUUCUCCUGGGUUCCAGUGCGGUAGCUGGUCCCGCUUUGUUGCUGGGUCAGUGAGCUUGGCCGCUUGGGUAGGCAGGCGUGCGGGGUGGUCAGUUAGCAGCUGGUUCUGGUGCCCCAGACUGAGUAGGACCUGAGAUCCGGUUGCCAGCGUGUGUGUGUGUGUGUGUGUGUGCGUGUGUGUGUGUGUGUGUGUGUGUGUGUGUGUGUGUGUUAAACACAAAAACAAACGGAACAAAGCCGCUGAACACGCGUGCGCAGUUACGGACCAAUACCUACGCCGGUUACCGAGCUCCGCGGUGGGCGAUGUUGCCCCAGUUGUCACCUUGAGUAUACUUACCCGCAUACGUUGCCUGGAACCCCCUACCCGGGCGUUUGGCAUUCAGCCUCGUCUCCGAGGUGCACCCGCAUGCGCUGCCAUGCUCCGCGUCGGCGACGCGCUAACAACGUUUACCGGGCACAACUCCCCCUAAGUCUCGACGACUCCACAUCCAUUCUCACCUAUAAGCGUGGGAACGGAAAGGCAUUGGGCGGCAGCAUAGAAGUGUCACGGACAUGUGAAAUGGCAGCGGCGGAAGAGGGCGGCGUGCAGCAAGCAAGCUAUCUAUGUGUGUGUGUGUGUGUGCGUGUGUGUGUGCGUGUGUGUGUGUGUGUGUGUGUGUGCGUGUGUGUGUGUGUUAUACACAAACAGAUGGAACCAAGCCGCCAAACACGCGUGCGCAGUUGCGGACAAAUACCUACGCCGGUUACCGAGCUCCGCGGUGGGCGAUGUUGCCCCAGUUGUCACCUUGAGUAUACUUACCCGCAUAUGUUGCCUGGAACCCCCUACCCGGGUGUUUGGCAUUCAGCCAUGUCUCCGAGGUGCACCCGCAUGCGCUGCCAUGCUCCGCGUCGGCGACGCGCUAACAACGUUUACCGGGCACAAAUCCCCCUGAGCCUCGUCCACUCCACACCGGUAUCCAUUCUCACCUAUAGGCGUGGAAAUGGAAAGGCAUUGGGCGGCAGCUCAGAAGUGUCACGGACAUGUGAAGUGGCAGUAGCGGAAGGGGGCGGCGUGCAGCAAGCAAGCUAUCUAAUGUCCCAACAUGCAUCCCAAAGCCCGCCCACUAACUAUGCCCGUGAAAGGGAACGAUUCCGGGGCCGCGCGGCCGCACAUACGGUAGCGCCCGGCUGCAUGGGGCGCCUGGUGGGCGGCGGUUGCAGAGACACUGGGCCCGGCUGUGUUAAAAAACGAAACGAAAGCCCGCCCAAUGACGCGACGGAGUUACUUACCGAUACCCACCAUUUUACCGAGCGUCGCGUGACUGUCGUGACCCAGGUAGUCAUACUUACCCGCGAUAAGCCUGGAACCCCACGGGCGACCAUUCGGCCUGACCCCGCGAUGCACCUGUAUGCGUCCAUGCUCCGCACCCUGGGCGCGCUAAACAACGUUUACCCAGCACGCCUAAUUCCCGGAUUCCCGCCCGCUGGUCGUAGUCGAGCUCACCUAUAGGCAAAGGUGGAAGCAUGGGCAUAGGGCGGCAGCGAGGAAGUGUCACGGGCAUGUGAAUGGCAACGGCGAUAAGAGAGGCGGCGUGCAGCAGACAAGCUAGGUAUCACGCGUCCCAAAUCCCGCCCGGCUGUGUGUGUGUGUGUGUGUGUGUGUGUGUGUGUGUGUGUGUGUGUGUGUGUGUGUGUGUGUGUGUGUGUUUGUGUGUGUGUGUGUGUGCGCGCGCGCGCCUGCGUUUGUUCGUGCACCUGCGGUGGUUCCCGUGCGUUAGCUGGUCUGCUGUAUUGCCGCUGGGUCAGUGAGCUUGGCCGCUUGGUUGGGCGUGCGUGCGUGGCAGCCGGUUCGCAGCUGUCUGUGUGCUUUCACAGGCACCAUGCAUGGCGCUGGGCGGCAGAGGUCGGCAGCCACCAGUCGGCGACCGGUACCGUAGCAGUGGCCCGAAGCAAAUGGCCUUAAGGGCUGCAGGUUCGGCCUAUGCAGGGUGCAAGGGGCAUUAUGCGGAGCGCGCGGGGGGGGGGCAUUAUGUCAUUAUGUGGGCGAAAGUGGCGCACGCAGGGGCAUUCUGUGAGAGUGGCCAAGGGUGUGGCGCCAGAUGAGCUCGGCAGCGAGCGUCAUGCAGGCAGGCCAGGGAGACUGGGGAGUGAGCAACAUCACAUCCAAUUGCCAGGUACAGCGCGCACAGCCCUUGCGUAGGACGAAGUUGCAUCAGCUGUCUGUGUGCCCCGGACUGCAUGGGGCCUGAGACCCGUGCUGCAACGUGCUGGUGCGUGUGUGCCUGCGUUUGAUCGUGCGCCUGCGGUGGCUGGUUUCAGUGGCUGGUGCGGUUUGUCUCUGGCGUUCUGCUUGCCCAUGUUGCAGGUUGCGUGCCGCCGAUGUGGUGCUGCGCCUUCCCCUGCCUUCUCUAACCACUCAACAAAGUACGGCGGGUGGCGUCGGACGCUGCUGACUGCACGACGUUGCACUCCAACUCAUAUCACCCACCCCCUAGUAGCUAUCUCUCUUUUGCUUCCGUGCGAACCGCUGCAAGCAGAGCAGUGCGCUUGCAUGGCAUGGAACCGGGAUCCUUCGCAUCCUGCCUUACAAAGUUGGCAUUGGCCGGCGCAUAAAACCAGACCUUGCAUGCCGAAUCCGAUUCAAACCGAUGAAUGGUGUGGGGUGCGUGAUCUGCACUGAUUGCACCCAUGCACUCGCCAUGCGUGCAAGGUGCAGGUCGUUUAUCAUGGAGAGUGCUUGCAGGUGGUGGAGGAGAUGCACUAAGGUCACACUGGCGCAGCUACCACCACAGGUUGAGUAGAGGUCUACUUCGCCCCUACCUGCACAGCACCAAAGCUCAAGCGUCUUUCCAUCGUUGCUACUGGCACAACAAACCAUUCAAGCAACAUUUCAUGAAUCCUUUGCAAGCGUGUGGUUGGGUUCACAAUCGCAUGUAGGCUUCCGUAACCGCCACGUUCAAAACACAUCAAAGCACCAGCCAGUCUAGAAAUGUGGUCAGCAGAUUUAUGCAUGCACGUGGUCAAAUGCUACAUUAGCUAGGACUGGCUCCCCAACCAUCUACCUAUACAAUGCGUGCGACCAUCACCGACAGUGUCACACUUGCCGUCUUGUGCUCGGCUCCUAUAUAUCCUAUGCUCCCUGAUGGGCCGUGCGUUUCCGCACAGCGCUACGGACAAAAUUACACUGCUUCGCCAGGUCCACUUCGCUGGACCGCGCCACACACUGACCUACUCUCAACAAAUGCGCCAUCUUCGGCGUAUUAAGCACACAUCCCUCGAGCUGCUACUCUACAGGUUCGUAAGCUGGGGGCUUGCGCCCACAAGCCGUGCGAGUCGGCUCCUUAGAGCUUCUUGCGGCCGAACUGGGUGUAGAUGCUGCUGUCCAGGGGGUAGACGGCGCGGCCCUGGAAACGCACGUACUCCACAAAGGGGCCGUAGUUGGGUCCGGAGCCGGCCGGGCGCUGCAUGGUGAUGACAACGCCGCCAAUGACCUUGUCCUUGAGCUUGCCCUGGAUGUUGGACUGGCUGCCGCCGGUGGGCACGGCCAUGUUGACGCCGCUCUUCUUGGGGCCGACGCGGAUGGCCAACACAGACUGGCACUUGGUGGUGUCCUUGGUCACGUUAUAGAUCACGCGGCCGAGGUCGGGGGCGUAGUUGCCGUUCGAGGGAGAGCCAGUCCACUUGAUGAACUGGACCUUGACCACGCCGGAGUUGCGGACCUGCUUGAUGAAGAUGCGGCUAAUCUGGACGGGGUCCCUGAAGAACAGGGGCACCACGGUCAUGUCAUCGCUGGCGCGCCAGGUGUAGGGGCAGCCCUCGCACUUGAGCGGGCAGCUGGGCUUGAAGGGGUUGAUCUGCGUGGAUGGCACCAAACGACAAACCAGCGAUGAGUAGGUUGGCGGUAAGGUCAUGGCACAGAAGCACACAGAGUCAUAAGACGGGUAGUCACUAUCGAGCGGGUGCAUGGAACAGCGGCUAAGGAACACAUGGACCCGAGCACAAGCUGCACUCACCAGGUUAAGGGGCGACAGGUUGGAGACCAGCGAGGAGAAGUUGGGGUCGUUGUACCAGACAACGGGCUUGUUGGGGCCAACGGUGCCGUACGCGGUCAGGUUCAGGAACUUGACAGUGGGGCCGGGCGAGGGCGGGCUGGGGGGGCGCGGGGGAGGAGGAGAUGGGGGAGGGAAGCCACGCUCGACCUGGUUGGCACCAAUGGCGUCGGCGAUGGCGUUCAGGUUGACCGGCGGCGGGCGAGGAGGGCGGGGAGGAGGCGACGGAGGGGUAGGGGGAGGAGAGGGGGGCAGCACCGUGCCAGUGGGAACCGGGGGCUGAGGAGGAGGCGACGGCGGCAGGGCCACCUCAAUGAACUGCACGAUGGACACCAGGACCUGGAUGUAGUAGUCAUCCUGCUGCAGGUCGCGACGGCUCAUCUCGUUCAGCUUGCGGUACAGCAGCGCGGGCAGAGCAGCCUCGGCGUCCAGCAUCUCCAUGAUCUCGUCCUCGUUGGCGGCAUAGCUGCCCUCGUGGAUCAGGCCGGUCACACCGCUGCCAGAGCCGAACAUGUCAGCCACCUCGGAGCGAUCGUACACCUUGGCAACGUUCUCCAGAGCCAUGCGGCGCCUCUUGGCGGGGGUGGUGUCGACCAUGAUGGUGAUCACGGUGCCGUUGCGGUACACAAACAGGAAGCCACGCACAACAAUGGCCGUCGCGUUGACGCCCAGGGCCUUCGCGUAGGUGUUCUGGAUGUCAUCGACCAGACUGUUGAUGGCGGUCUGGUUCUUCUGCAGGUCCGCGGGGUCCUGGUCGCCGAUGGUCUGGUUCUGAUAAGUGACCACGAAGUCCUCGACCACCUUGGCAAUGCCAGGGGGCAGGGGGGGAGGGCUAGGGGGAAGGGGCGAGGGCGGGCUGGGCGAAGGGAUGACCGUCGGCGAGGGGCUGGGCGAGGGAGAAGGAGCGGGGGAAGAGGAAGGGGAAGGGGAGGACGAGGGGGAAGGAGUGGGGGCGGGGGAGGGGUAGGUGCCGGCGGCGCUCUGCAGGAAGCGGCGCACCACCUCGGCAGCCUCAUCGGCCACGUCAGCGGCGGACUCCAGAACGGAGUCAACGGCCUCGGGGUGCUCGUCAGCGUUGCCCUGAGCGGGGACCACGUAGGCACCGGCGGCGAAGUCAGACACCAGCUUCUCCAGCAGCUCGCCCCAGCGGGCCUUGGCGCCCUCCUUCCAGCUGUAGCCCAGCACGACCACAGCGCCGGACACGCCAGCCUUGCCGAAAGCCUGAGGGAUGAGGGAGCGGGAGCAAAGAGAGCGAAACAUGAGCGAACGCACGACAGCAAGGAUAAAUGUUGUGGACACGCUGGGGGUGCUGUUACUAUGUUCCGUGUGUGCAAGUCACGUUGCGUCCACCCACAAGCACGUGUUCUACACGCCAGUGCGCACCCACCUGAGCGGCGACCUUCAUCUCGUCACCAGCAGCGGUGUACAGAGGGAUGGUGAAGGCCUCAACGUCCUCGUGGCGGCACCAGGUGUUGAAGCUGAUGGUCUUGGCAUCCUCCAGCGAGGCGGGCCAGGCGUCCUGGGCCUUGGACGAGAAGAAGCUGGAAGCCUGCUCCGCCAGCAGCGGCACGCCCUGGGACGACUUGGAGUUGCAGCCGGCGUGCUUGCACACGGACCAAGAGCCUGCAAUCAAUGGAGGCGAGGACAGCGGAGUUACUGCCGGUCAACGCCAUGCCAGACAACGGCUUGCAAACACCCAUUUUUUGCCCUACUAGAUGUGCCCGUUUAAGCAGCCAGCUCGAUAGCCAUUAACUCACCCUGGUAGCCCAGCGCCUUGGCGACGAAAUCGCGGUCGGCAUCGGCCUUGCCGCCGAGCAACACAACCAAGCCGCCGUUCUCUACAAACUUAGAGACGGCCGACAUGUCCUCAGCAGACGAGUAGAAUGCGCUGCCGUGCUGGGCGGGGAUCACAUAGGCGUCGGUACCGGUCAGGCGGGGCUGGCGGUCCACGGCAACGGACAAGUCGAAACCGAAGGAGCGGAGCUGCGACUCCAGGUUGCUGGGGCCAUUGUCCCAUGAAAGGUCGAGGACGUUGUUGGCCUCACUCAUGUAGAGAGACACACGCGCGGCUGACGAGACGGCAAGCCCACAAAGCAACAGCAUCGCGCAUAGGCCCUGGGCUCGAGCCCAGGAGCCUUUUGUAUUCAUGCUGAACGCUAUUCGACUACAAUGCGAAUGGCUAUUGGCAGUCGGCGCAGCUGGGUCCCGAGCUUGUAAGUUGCGGGUACGUAGCGAUGGGCUCUUGCCGCGGAGUCGGUGUUUGGAGUCGGUGUUUGUAUGCUUCUACCCGCCUCAAGUAUAUGCGGCUGGAGUAUGAGUUCCAUGAGUGAGCGGGGGGCAUUAUAAGCUGCACCGCGUUGCACACUCCCGACGUACAACCAGUAGUGCUGGUGGGCGUCACACCGAGAGUCUGACCAGGUUUGGCUGCAACGCUGCCAAAUUUCUUAUUUCAGUCAUUACUAUCAUGCUGCAUGCAUUAUAGAGCAUUGAAGCUUGGGUGCUCGACGCUGUUAUUGGGGUUCGCGAGUGUGCGAACAUCCAUUCAAACUUGCAGUGCUUGCUUGGGCGAACGAGCAGUUGAAUAUAUCAUAGAGAUGUAUACCAUAUCCAUCACAAAGGACUUAAAGGGCGCCCCCGAAGCACCUGUGAAAACGUCAUACUGGUUUCACGCUGGGAACGCGAGUGUGAACGCGCACUCGCGGCGGGCGCGGUUGCACAAAAUGAUGGUGGCAUGCUGGUGCUAUUAAUAUGCACCUGAGGUAAAAGCUUCGGUCCCUUUCGCCCGACGUCGAGCCCUACCCCCGGCCCCCUCGCGCCCAACGGCACGUUAUUGUCGAGGCGGUUUGAUGGGUUUUGCUCUGGGAGCCAAUGAGCGUCCAUUCCCAUUACGAGAUGACGAAGCCAUCGGACGGUGGAACAGGAAGGAAAAGUUGUUUGGGGCAGCAGUGCGGGCGGGUGGGGUCACUGGGGUGGGCGGGGAUCGACGAGGAUGCAGACCAAGUGCCUUUGAUGGGCUGGGCGUGACUUGUUUCAGGACUCAGCUGUAUCAACUAUAUCAGCUACUUGCUUACCUUGCCCUGUCCCGUCACGCCAUGUGCGCUUGCAUAGGAGAGCGUGCACUGCUGGUAACGUCUAUGCCAGCGGAGGCCCCUCCCCUGGUCCAUGACUUGGAGGAAGCUGGGGAAGGGCUUGGCGUGGCCGAUGUGCCUCGUAGGUGACACGCGCUGCUGAAAAGUGCUGCUGUGAAUUUCUGGGUGUGGAGUUCGCAACACCACAUAUCCUAGCAAGACUUGCCUCCCGUACGAGGGUCAUCCGCGCAUUCAAAGGGCGGCCGGACCGUCCCAACCACCUCACCCCCCCCCCCCGCGCCUCAAACCGCUCAUCAGGCGAUACGCCGGCGAGCAGCCUUCUUUUGAUCACAUGAAUAACCAUUAUUGAAUGCCGUGCCAAUCAUGUCCGGACAUCGUGCGCGUGUCAUCUACUUUGCUAAAACACAUGUACCCGCGCCCGCCACCAUAGCCCGCCACCAUGGCGACCCCACACGCGGGGCGGUACUGGUCGUAAGGCUUGCACCCCUCGCAGCCACCGCCGCACGGCGCGUGGAAGCCGAGGGCAAUGCGCUCCUGGUGCUGCUGCUUGCUGUACGGCCGCUGUACGACCAUGCCGCUGUAGCACGGCACGCAGGGGCCCGCGGCGCCGGCGCACGGCGCGGGCGCUUCUCGGCCUCUUGGGGCGAGGCUCGGACAUGGUGCGUAUGUGUUCUUAAUUAUCCUAGUGACUACAUGUUCAUAUGCUUAUGUUAGUGAACCUCGGACGUGAAGGGCGUCGGAGCAGGAGAGGAGCGGGGACGAGGCUGCGGCGCAGGCCGUGCCCUGCGGUGGGCAAGCUUGCUUGCUGUAGAAAUACCCACCGCACGCGUUGGCCACAUUACUUAACUCCAUUUGGGGGCGUAGGCACAUGAACGUGCCCGUCUUACAAGGGGAGAGCGUUAAGCCUGGCGAGUUGACUGGUCAAGGGAGCGACACAUGAGGCACGCACGUGAUCGGUAGCCUGAGGGCCCUGCAGGUGUCCGGUCCGAUGAGUAGCGUACUGAACAGUAUUGCUGCCCUCGCGCCUCUGAUGGUUGGGGGCUCUUGGGCCGUGUGCAAGCGUGCCGGCACCUCUGCCAGUGUCCUAGAGGGGUGGUAAGGGGGCCUGCAUUGGGUUGGCGGCGUGGGUUGGACCCCGGACUUGAGGGAUUGGGAUUCGGCGUGACCCCAACACACAUGGAUUGGGAUUGGGGUCAAGUCACUUUGGAUUGCGAGUCCUUGGCGAGUCGGCCCUAUCCAGGGGUGACCAGUGGGUACCCCUUGCUCUUCCCACCAAUCUGCCAGUAACCCCGAAUGUGGUGGUGUGGUUACAAGGUGGCGCGCACGAUCUUUGUGUGCCUUCCUGCCUUAUACAAACCGGAGGCCCGGGCCGGGAUGACCCUUAUAACGCCAACAAACGUGACAUGUGCUGACGCAUGGUGUGGCGCGUCACCCGUGUGCGGGAGCGCCUUCUAGCCGCCCUGGAAGCGGCAACAGCGCAAGGUGCACCUCAUACUCGGGGGGCGGUCGUUAGCUCUUGCCUGCAUCGAAGUUGUGGGCCUGGCCGGAGUCUGUAUGAACUAAAUUACGUAUUGGAGAAGGCAAGAGCACGACGUCAUCGAGGCUUGGGCGCUGGCAAGUGUGCCAAGGCUACAGACCUCCCCUGGUCCCCUGGGCAUGAAACUUAAUCAUGGAUGCCCUGGAGCCUUGGGGAUUGGGGACCCGACCCAUAUUGAACCCGACACAUUUGGGGCACUUGGAAGUCGGCCAUCCUUUUGCCGUGACCAUGGUUGGGAGGCAUACGUCCCCUCCACAAACCCGCCAGUUGACAGCUGACGCCGUCACUGCGGCCAGUGCGGGCCAAUUGCGCCGGUGCCCAGGCCAGGGUCUUGCCCAGGGUAUUACACGACGGGGAGGCGCGAAGGGUACUCGCAAUCUUGUUGAUGGAAAUGCAGGUACUUAGCAUAUGUCAUUGAGCAAAUAUAAAAGCACUUACCAUAGCUCAUCGGCGACAGUGUUCGUCAGUCCUGCAGACUACGUUCUUGGGUUCUGGGCUACCUUAUCGACGGCAUCAUGAUAUUGUCAUGAGGAUUUCUCAAUAUGGAUGCAUCAGGCAUAAACAUUUGCGGGUAGCAGCCCUAACGUUGGAGCGCCGGGACAGUGGUGGCGCUUAUCGGCAGCGUUCUGGAGAGCGGAUAAACCAAUUGGGUGCUGCGGUACGCAAAUUUUACUGCGCUGAGAAUGAGAAUGUAGAACCCUGGCUUUUGGUAUGUGACGGCCGAGUCGGCCGCACCACCCACACCCCACGCCCACAGCCCUUACCUCCUGGCUGCCGAAUCGCCGCUUUGCUUGGCCCUUCCCCACUCCCUCCCUUAUUUACUAUCCCCUCAGUGGUGCAUUAGCAUGGAGUCCGCCAAGGAGCGCCAGACCAACUUCGUCGACGUCCUGAGCGUGCCGCAGCUGUGGACGCAUCUCCAGGGCGCUGAGCUUACAGCCGUGCGCGGCUGCUCCCACGCCGCCCGCACCCACCAUGACGCGACGGUGACGUCGGCGCACAUCGUUCUGCGGGACCGGGCCCCGGGGGAGGCUGCAGCGCGCAUGCUGGAGGGUCUACGGCGCAUUUCGGGGCGGGGUUGUCGCCUCGCGCACCUGGCGGUGACGCGCCUGCAGUCUGAGGGCUGCGGCAGGCUGUGGUGAGCUGCGGCGGCGCGGAGGGGCAUGACGGCUUGUGGUGGCAGCCUGGUUGGUGGGGUUUGGGACGGCACAGUUUACAUACGCUCAUGGGGCGGGACUGCGGUUCUGCAUCGUCCCCUGCCAGGGCAGGACACAGCGGCGGCCGGCUAAGUUAAGGCCACGGGGCACACAUGCUGAUGCACAUCGGCUGGGUGCCUUGGAGGCACGCGGGACGUCUCAAUGGAGGGAGGGGUUCUACACACGGACGCAUGUGCGGUGUGACUUGCCGUGCACCGGCACUUGUCAGCCCACGGUGCGUGGCCGCUGUGCAGUCCACGCUUUUGUUCUCCGCCCCGCAGGUCCGACGUGCUGUCGCUAUCCAUGUGCUCGUGUGCCACACGCCUGGCGCUGCUGGGGCCGCACGCCCUGCCCUCGCAGGUGGGGGACCCAGCUGCCCACGGGCUGGGAGAGUGGUGGCCCGGAAGGGUUGGCCUGGGCGGUGCCAGCAGUGGUGUGAGGCGGAGCGCGGAUGCGGUCCGGACCUAGGCGGGAAGCCCCUACGGAGUAAGGAAGAGCCAGCGGCAUGGCAGGUUGGAGCGAAGAAAGGCAGGUUGUUGGGCCUCAGCGCUGCACGGGUCUUGUAAGUGGUGGCCGGGGCGAGCAUUGCCCAUGCCAAAGUUGUGGUAUUGCUGCUCGCGUGUGCUUUGACAGGAGCUGGCGGCAGCACUUCCCACACUGGCCCCAUGCGUACGGCAGCUGACGGUGCAGCUGUGCGACACCGGUACGAGCGGCGCCGUGGACGUACUCCUCGCAGCCCUGGGGCCACGGUGGGUUGGGGAGGGGGCGGCUCGCAGGAUGAAGGGGGUGGGCGUGGAAGGUGUGACGGCGCGCGGGGGCUGGGGCGUAAAGGCGUGGAGCGAAUGUGCGCAAGGAUCAGGCAGGGUUGAGCUGAGUAUGCCACGAUACACAUGCGCUGGUUUCAUGCACGUGCGAACUUUCCGCCAUGCUUUCGCACGUGCUGGCGAGUUCGCCAUGCGUGGCAUCCCACACGCACAAGGUGCAACCGCCGAUGUGCGGCUCCGCCCUCCCCGUAGCAGAAAGCCUGCAUACCGCCGCGCAGCAUUCGCAACCGGUUUCCAGCAGGCGAAUGACUAUGGUGUGAUAAAACUGGUUUGGAAAGCCUGCAAGCCUUGUGGCAAAGACAUCCUUGCCGCAUGUCCUUGUUGCUCGCGUUCAAUUGGACAAGUUUCACGAAAGAGGGAAGGCAACAUAAGAAAGAGACAACAUGCAACAUGAUACUUUGACAGCCUUGAGCAUUUCGCUGCGGUCCGUAGGUUUCGCCGCCGGCUGGGGUCAGGAGGCACUGAUGGCAUGGUGCGGUUGGGACCGGAUUCAGCACGCAAUGCAGCGCUGCUUGGGGCAAAUGGUUCACAGCAGUUUAGUGCUUUCUAGCGUCGGGGCUUCUGAUGGCGACACGAGUAAAGCCAUGUGGAUGGGGAGAGACGAAGCAUUGGUGCACGAGAGGAUACUGAGGCUGCCUGCACCAUGCUCCUUACACACCACACGCCAGUCGUACACCAUGUGCAGCAUCACAGCACACGCUCACCCGGCCGCACAAGCGUGUCAACCUGGCACGCAGCUAGCACAUACCAUGGCGACGCCCCCAUGGACCGCACGACGCGGCUGCGGCGGCCCCAACGGCACCCCUCACGGCAAAUCCGUCAAGGCGCCCUACGUUGUCUCCCUCCAUUAGCCAGAGCCCCCUUCACCACUCACCUACAUUGGCGGGCGGGCGCAUGCUUCGUCUCCCUCGUUUUCACGCGCACAGGCGGGGUCCACACCCCUUGUGCUUGUCUGACGCGCCAGGCUUGAGGCCCUUGUCUUCAGUUUCCCCUCACCCACCGCCCUCCCCGCGCACGCACACCCGCGCAGGCUGGAAGUGCUGGAGCUGCAGUUGUGCGGCGGAGCGGUGGUGCCGUGUGAGGGGCUGUUGGCGCUGGCCGCAGCAGCAGCUGCUGCUGCCCAGAGUGCUACUGCCAGUGGCGCUGCCGAUGGCACUGCCGGUGGUGCUGCUACAGCCGUGGAUCCUGUCCCUCAGUCUGCUAAAGCUGCUGCCUGCCAAAGCACGGGUUCGCCGUGCUGGAUCCUGGGUGGCCAACAGCGCACAAGGGAUGGCUGCGAGGGCACGGCCGUGAAGCAAACAUGCGGGACGGCAGUGGCAGCAGCGCAAGGGACGGCAGUAGCAGCGGCAGCAGCAGCAGCAGCCGCAGGGAUGGCCGCAACACCUGGGGCGCCGGCAGCAGCAGGCGGCCACAGGCGGCAUGCGGGGGGCAGGGGGCUGCGGGAGCUCCGUCUCGUCCUGGCGCUGGACAGACACAUGCACAUAGGUGAGCAACGCGGGGGCGGGGGCGGGGGCGCAGCAGCGCUCAUAUGCGGAUGCGGACAGCCGCGCGCGGCCUCACUCUGUGCCCCGCCAUCGGAGCACCAGAAACCAGGGGGCAGGCCUCUGGCUGCCCAGCCCACCACGUGCGCUGCUCAUUCGCUCUUCCACUGGGCCGCGGCUGCCGGCGCGCCUUGCAGGUACAUUUAGGUACGGCACCCAGGCGCGUCCUGGGGGUCCUGGGGGACAAGGAGGAGGAGGCGGGGGCGGCGGUAGCGGCGGCCCAAGUGCGUGGCGCAGGAGCAGUGGAGCGGCGGCGGCGGCGGCGCAGUCACCGCCGGCACGGGCGGCAGCAGGCCGCGCGGGUGAGCGAAGGGCACGUCCUCAUAUUACCAACAUUGUCUUCAUUGCUUUCGCACUAGGGGCUGAGCAUGUCGCCCGGCUGUGCUGCGUAAGACAUGUCAGAAACCCACACCCGAGCGCGGCCCCUGUGACGGCUCCGCAUCCUCCUGUCCCCCGCCGCCCCCCUCGCCCAUGCAGUGCCGCCGGCUGUGGCGGCCAUCGCCGCGCUGGCGCCCUCCCUGCGCGCACUGUCCCUGACCGGCCCCUGUGUGGCCCGCGUGCUGGACCCCCCGGGCCGCCUGCUGGGGCUGUCGGCACUCACAAACCUGGAGCGGCUGCAGGUGGAGCUGCCGGCAGCCGCCGACCCGUACCUCACUAGCGGCAGCUACGGCGGCGGAGGAGGAGGAGGAGGAGGGUACGGCGGAGGGCGUUAUGGUGGCGGCGGCGCCGCCGCCGGAUGGGACGCCGGCGAUGGCGGCGGCGGUGGUGCCGUCUGCGACGGUGGCGGUGGCGGUUGGAAGUUGGGUCCGCUGCUGGCGGCGAUGACUUGGAUCCGGGAUCUGGAUCUGGGACCGUCGUACCGUCUGCCGCCAGAGGCGCUGGUGUCGCUGGCGGCGCUGACUCAGCUCACACGCUUGCGGUGCGGCUCCAUCGCGACGCCGCCGCCGCAACAGCACCAAUCGCUGGCGGCUGUGGCUGCUGCUGCAGCAGCGGCAGGAAGCACUCCUGAGUUCAUGGAUGCGGCCGCAGAGGCGGUGUCUGCGGCGCACCGCGACGCCUUGAGGCGACCUGGCAGCAGCGGAGCCAGCGCCAGCGCAGGAGCUGGCAGCAGCGUACCCAGCGGGCAAAUGGCGGGUGUGUGGGAAUGCAAAGAAGAGCCGACUGGGGCGGACGGGUUACAGGCAACAGUGCAGAUGCACACGCAGACGCAGCCGACCACGUGUGCAGAUGGCUGCCAGGCUGCCACAGCCCCUUUGCUGCCGCUGCCGGCAGGAGUGUUGAGGCUGCCACUGCCUCCCGCGCUUACUGUUCUGGAGGUGGGUCUAGAGUCAGGGUGCAAAGGUUGUGGUUGCUCGAGUCCACGUUGUGAACUUGCGUCCUUUCAGCCUGCUUGUCGACACACAUGCGGUAUCCUCGGGCCCUUUCGUUUGCGCUUGCAGGUUUCUGCGCUACCCGCAGUGCCGGUGCUGGCAGCCCUGGCGGCCUUGCCCCGCCUCCGCGCCCUUUGCAUCACGCCCGCAGCCCCGGUGCCGGCCCCGGCCCUGGGCCCUGCUCAGCCGGGGGCCGCGGCCGUUGGGGUUGCCGCUUCCAGGAGUGCCUUGUUGGGCGCGGCUGCUUGGGCCCGGCAGGCGGCCGGGGCGGGCAGAUCGCCUGCAGCUGUGACGGCCGCCCACACGCGCCCCACGGCGGGCGGUGGCGAGCAGGCAGACACACAUGACAGCGCAGGCGGCGGCAGCGCCUCCCUACCCGGGGCGGCGGCGCCGCGUGAAGGCACGUCGGGUGGCGGCGUCGGCGGCAGCAGCCGGGUGUGGGUGCCGGCGUGCAAAGCGCAAGGAGCCCGGGGCGCAGAGGCAGCCGCCCUGCCCCAGCAGGCUGCCCCUGCAAGCUCGGGUGCCACUGCUGCAACGAUUCCUGCUUCCAGCGCUGCUACAGCCUCUGGGUCGAGUAUGGCGGCAGCAGCGGAUGCUACAGCUUCUGAGCCGCUGCGCCUGGCGCUUGUUGGGGACGAGUGGGAGCACGGGCAGCACCACCCAGCCGGCCUGCAGCUCCAGCUACAGCGGGAGCAGGUGGGGCGGCGGCUGGGCGCAGCUGCAGCAGUGGCGGCGGCGGCGGAGCAGGUGCGGCCUCGUGCUUCGGGCGUCUGCCAUUCGCACAGCUUGGUUAGCUGAAAGCGCGUGCUGAAUACGGGGGCCACGAGCACUCGCCAACGCUCAUUACCGUAGUCAUGGGACGUGGGGGUUCCACUCCAGCUCGCUACGGACUGAUUGCCUUCGCAGGGAGGGCCGCCCGGCACCGGCGGGGCUGCGGGGUCGCAGCCCCAGGAAGUGGUCACGGCGGCUCGGCUGCUGCAGCGUGUGCUGCCGCCCUCCGCCAGAUGCCGUCUGUCUCUGCACCCCUUCAGUGAGUACCGCAUCGCCGAGGCAAAUACUGUAUCAAGUAAGCCAGCAGGGCGCUUGAACUGUGAACUAAUAGCGUACAUUCACGGCAAGUUGGUGAACGCCGCAUUGGGUGUCAUAAAACAAUCAGCCCCGAGCUCGGCUGGGCGCGCGGGGUACUUGGGCCCAAUGGCAAUGCACGAGCAGCCUCAACUCUAUGCCAUUCCUCUCGCCGAGCCCGGCACCCGAGUAUUUUUCAGUGAGCAUCCUUCUUCCCUCCCCACCGGGCACCUGCACACGAUCUGCUUGCUGAGCGGUGUGUUUUCGCCCCCACGCGCAGCCCGCUCCCCGGCGCGCCUGGCGGGGCCGCAUGCGGCCUGGAUGUCGGAGCUGUGGCCGCUGGCGGGCGACAGCGGUGGCGGCGGCGGUGGUAAUCGCGGCGGCGGCAAUGGCGGCGGCUCUACUGGCGGCGGCUCUACUGGCAGCUCUGGGGGCGGCGUGGAGGCUGUGGAGGUGGCGGGGCUGGACCUGGCGGCGGGGGACCUGGAGGCGUUGCUGGCAGCACUGCCGCGUGUCAAGGUAGGGGUGACGGCUAGGUGCCUGGCCAGGGGGCUUGGCACACCUGCUUCCUCCUGCUUCCACCUCACACGGCACCCCUCCUGCCCCUCCUAUUGUGUGUAACCGCCUCCCGCACAGAGCCUGGGCCUGUUCAUGUGCCGACUGCCGGACGCCGACCUGGGGCGGCGGCUGCAGGUGGGAGGGUGCGCGGGUGUGUACGUGGGGCAGGGCAGCUACGUCCGGUUGGAGGAGUUGGGACGUGAGGCUGUCGGCAUAUGUGUGUCCUGCGGCGCGGCGCCAGAGCGGCCCGAGAGGCCGACGGCAGCAGAACCUAAACCGCUUUCCUGCGCAACCACUGCCGCCGCCUUGACGCCUCCCUCGUCCUGCUACAUGGCAGGUGUCUUCCCAGGCCUUCGCAGCUGCCGCUCCUAACUCCCGUGCCUGCGCGCGCCUCUCUGUGCCCGCCGAUUGCUACUCAGGUGGAGCGGCCGGGGCUGGCACUGCGAGUGGACUCAAGCUGCGUGUACGACAACCCGCCCGCAGCCUCCCUGUACGGCGGCGGUGGCCAUGUGCCGUACGGCCGCGGAGGCUACGGCUGCGGCGCGAACGGGCAGUACGGAGGCGCGUUGGGCGACGGCGAUGACGAAGAGGAAUUCGUGGAUGAGGCCGAGAUAAGGGAGGAGGAUCCUGAUAAGGAGGUGGCGGCUUUGGGGGGCGCGCUUUGGCCCAUUGCUGUUGAGCUCCAGCGCGCGUAUGAGAGGGCGCUGGAUGCGACGGAUGAUGAGGAGGAGGGGGAGGGCGAGGAGGCGGACGGCGGUGGGGAGGCGGGGGACAGCGAGGUGGCGGAGUGGGAGGAGGACGGCGGCGCUGCCUGGGACGAACAGAGCUGAGAGCGAGGGGCGUGCGAUGGUCCGUGUGGUAGGUUGUAGAGUGGAUGGCAUUCCUCUCAGUACAGUAUUGGCGUUAAGUUGAUACAGCGCAAGUCGUGAGGGUUGCAGACUUGCAGGGCAAGAGGGCACUGCAAGAGGGUUUUGGUGGAUCAGCAGGGAGGCGGCGAGGCCUGGCCAGAUGGCUGGGGUUCGGCCCGUGUCAAGUGUGCCAAAUUCCGUGUGUCGCAGGUGGUCGCGAGGACCGCAGCACUUUGUGCAAGAUUCCAAAUGUACAUAAUACUUUGCAUCCGUGACUAUGAUACGAUUGCUUCAAGUAGCUCCGGCAGCUUGCAUAGAGGAAAUUGCGCUCUGACCACAACCGUGCUGCAGUUAUGAGCUCUGUUUCGCUGGGUUGCGCGCUCCAUACACAAGGCACAGAGGCACAACACUAUAAGCAAUAGAGUCAGCUUCGGCGGAGCGAGCUCACAUGGCCGACACGCCAAGUCGCGUGGCCACGCUGCUCGAAAUCGCAGCGCUGCAGGCUGUGCAUGGUGCAGAGGAGGCGGUGAUCGAUGCGGCUGAGGUGCAACAGCUUGUUGACGCUGCAUGUGAGGGCGCGCUCGAGGUGAGCGGCGUGUCGCACAACAAUGGCCCGCCUCGCACCCCUCACACCUUGUCCGUGCUCCCCCCUCUCCAAACUCAUGUGCUCACACCCGCACCCAUACGGUCGCAGGAGGAGGUCGCUGCGGCCCAGCUGGGAUCAUCCUCCAUCGACCUGACGAUACACGUGACAGCAGCCGCGCCUCCGCCGCUGCGGGCGUCCCUGCGCGUGCGCCUCCCCGCGGCCUAUCCAGGAGCCGGCGGCGGCUGCAGCGGAUUGCAAGCUGGUUCUGACCCCGUGACAGCGGGCACCGUGGCAUUCGCUGCCGCUGCCGCGGCCAUCUGCAGCCUUGGGCCGCCGACCCAGAUGGCGUGUGGCGGGGCCGCCGGGGCUGCCGUGACGGGGGGCCGAGGCUGGUGCGACAGCUGCACGACCCAGAUGGCGGCACUGGCGAGCAGCGCGGCGCAAGAGGCAAGUCUCUGGCCCGUGUUUGGGCGAGGACGGCCCAUGAUCCGGUGCAGUUGUUAUUGAUGGGGCAAGAUUGGGGGAGGGAUGCACGUGGGUCCGCUGCGGACCUGCAGUUGUUUGAUAGGGUCCGACGCGAGCAGCUCAGUGUGUGUUAGGGGGAAGGGUCGACCCUGUGUAUGCGAACGCGCAAGCAAAGCGAAAUGUGUGUGUGUGUGUGUGUGUGUGUUUGUGCACUGUUGACGUGCAGGGCCGCCCUUGCCUGCAUGAGCUGGUGGAGGCGGUGCAGGCCGCGCUGUCGGACCUGGGGCGGCAGCUGCUGCAGGGGCAGCAGGGGCAGGGGCAGCAGGAGGAGACGUCGGCAGCAGCGGCAGGGGCCUGGGGCGACGGCGGCGCCGACGCUGACGAGGUGCUGCUGGUGAAGCUGGACCACAUGCACAACCGGGGCAUGUACUGCCGCACGCUGGCGGCUUGGGUGAAGGAGCUGGGGCUCACAGGUGUGUGUGUGUGUGCGUGUCUCGUAGCGCCACAACCAGUCCAGUCCACAGGGUGCUGAUCAGCAGGGGUGCAGGACACCCGGGGGAGCAGGGGCGCAUAUGCAUACCUGGCUGGGCAGGCCGGGGCGGAUGCCAGUCCUGAUGGACAGGGAGGCACGUGCGUCGCUGCCGCCCUGUACCUCCUCCUCCCAUUCUGCGUCCUCCCACUCCUCCUGCUCCGUCUCCUGCCUAUCCCCACCUGACCUCCGACUCCUUCCCGCUCCCAGUCCCUCCCGCGCCCUCACCUUCCUCCCGCUCCCUCACCUCCCCCCCCCCCCCCCCACACACACGCACACACCCAGGCCGCCUGGUGUUCGGCCCCAGCGGUCUGCUGCUGGAGCUGCUGACGGGGCCGCCCGCCCGCCUGCGCGCCUACCUGGUGCGCCACCGCACGGAGGCCGUGGACGUGGACUCGCGGGGCCGCAAGGUGCGGGCGGCGGGCAGCUGGGUGGCAGCUGGGCGGCAGCUGGGUGGCUGGGUUGUGAGGUGGGGGUGCAGGGGUGCAGGGGUUGAGAGGUGGGAGUGCGGUGUUCUUGGCGACACAGCACCCACUCAGGUUGUGGAUCCGGGAUCCGGCUCCGUGCGUGCGGGCGGCUGACGUGCGUGCGGGGCAGGGCGCGGUUGUGGCCACACAGGUAACAACACCCACCUGAGCGCGCUCCCUAUGCACUGCAUCCUGCAGUGCAAGGAAAGGAUGAUGGAGGUUAUUGGGCAGCGCGCCUGCGGUAACGGCCCCAGCAGCAGUAACAGCGGCGGCGGCUGUGGACAGCGGGCCUUCACUGACUACAGGUAAAGGCUGUCGAGGAAAGGUCCUGGAGGGGUGGGGGUGGGCAGGCGUGGUGGCGGGCGGGCGCUCGCACGCAGGGCACUGCUGGACCCCACACGUACCCUACACGUGCCACGACCUCGGCCGCACGCGCACGCACGCACAGCGACAGAAGAGCUCUGGAGGGUUCAGCCAGGCCCGGCGGCAGGGCAGGCAGGUUUGCGCCAGCACAGCAGGGGCUGACGGCGCCCCUUGCAGUUCACAUGCACUCUGCGCCCACAUGUGCCACGAGCUGGCCCGCACACACUCGGACACGGGCACUAGUUGAUAGACAGGGAGGUGGUCGCAUGGACAAUGCCGACCCUUUUCCCCUUCGCUUUGCACGCAGGGAGGUGCAGCUGUCCAGUCUGGAUGAGGUGGCACAGCUGCUGGAGGCGGCGGGUGUGGGCGACUGGCUGCGGCCGGCAGUGGGGCUGCCACCCGUUGCCGCCACACGGUGAAAGCGGCCUUCGACGCCUUCGCCGCAUGGCCUGCCGCUGGCUGCGUACGAUGCUGCAGCAACUCAUAAACUCAUCGUGACCCAAGGAAGUUUUGAGCUGUUAGUUGUGUGACGGGCCGAUCAGGGCCGGUCCUAGACAUACGAAAGACCCGCGACCGCGGCGCCUCGUUUGUUUGUUUUCUCUUUUUCAUUGUCAAGCAUCUUACGUGCUCACGUAUUGUUGGGAUCAGGGCUGGCAAUCAAUGCGGCGCGAAGAGCGGCGGCAGUAGCACACGGCGACCGCAAGCGAACCUAACAACGAAGGCACAGCAGCCCGGUGCGGGCUGCGAGCUGAUCGAUGGACGAAUGGGCCAAUGCUGCGGCUGGCGCGGCUGCGGCGGGUCGGCAGCAGCAGGAACAACCGCCGCACAUCGCAAACGCUCGGUCGCGGGUCAACGCCGGGGCUAGCAGCAGCAGCACCAGGGACGCAGCACAGCCGCGGGAUUUGAUGCCGCAUGCGAGUGGCAUUAAUAGCGAUGUGAAUGCGGUCGGGGCUGCGUCUGUGAGCCCGGCGCCAGGACUGGCUGGCCCAUCGGCGGCGGCGUGGCAGCGCCUGAGCCGGCCGCCGGCACCACACGGGCCGCCGGGGCCAGCCGCAGAUACGGAGCCGCCCGCACCCACACCCGCACCCGGCAUGCGGGCGGGAUGGGCGGAGCAGGUGGCGGAAGCUGCUGGGGAGGACGCGGCCCCUCCUGGCCCCAGCCGGGCUGGGGGCGGGCGGCCUGGAGGGGCAGGCGGAGGGGCAGGCGGAGGGGCAGGCGCUGAGGCCAGUAGUGCUGGCGCUGGCGAGGGCGCCGACGUGGGGCGUGGGGUCCUGGGCGCUGCUGGCGAGCCGCGUGCGGACGGCUGGCGGCUGUUUGCGCUGCAGACGGAGGCGGUGCUGCGCCGCAACGCGCUGCUGCAGGUGGGUGGGUGGGUGAGAGGCGGGUGGGUGUGGGUGUGGGUGGGGGUGUAGAUACCAGCGCAAACUAAACCGAAAUAAUGCAAUGGGGUGAGAGGUGGAACGGUGCGGCGGCGGUGGCGUGGCGUGGCGUGGAGAUGGACAAUGAGAAUGUCGUGGAGCGGUCGGGGCGGUUGAGAUGGACAAGGGAAUGGUGGGGGUGGGGUUGGAUGGGAACGGAUGCAACCGGGGGUAGUACAGCAGCCGGGAGGAGGAGGCGCAGCAGCAGCACACAGCGGUGCGGCGGGGCCAGGCGGAGCCUGAGGUGGCAUGCAGCAGCGGCAGCGGCAGUGGCGGCAUGCCGGUAUCUGCCCCGACCCUCACGCUCACCCUCACGCCCAAACCAUCCAGAACCCACCAUGCCCCCCCCCCCCGACCCUCGCGCCCCCUCAUCUUCCUGAUCCCCCGCCCGUCCCUCCGCCUUCCCCUGUCGCCCCUGCUGCCCCCGCCCCGCCCCGCCCCUCCCCUCCCCAGCGCCGCGCCUGGCGUCAGAGCCUGUGCCUGCUGGCGCUGCCCGUCAUCUUCUGUGUGCUGCUGGUGGUGAGGCGCCAGCGAGUGGGGGGUUGUAGAUACCAGCCCAAACUAAACCGAACACAAUGCAAACGAGCGAGCAGGAGAGCAGCUGAUGGGUGAUGGCAACUGCCAGUGAGGCGGGGAAGACGCACGCACGGUGUCAGACCCUCUCCCCGUGUACUUGCCUGUGUACUUACCACACAUACGCACAUGCGCACACAAACAUGCAACAACAGAAUCAAACACGCAACGCGCAGGUCCUUCAGCGCCUGGUGAACAACCAGCUGGGCGCCACUGAGGAGUACCGCUGCGGCUGCAUGUGCACCGCCUGCUGCGACUGGGUGCAGCAGCAGCAGCAGCAGCCGGCAGGAGCGGCAGGAGCGGCAGGAGCCGGGCUGAAUGGCAGUAGCAGCGGCGGCGGUGGUGGUGGUGGCGGCAACGGCACCAGCGUGUGGGAGUGCUACACGGCGACGGAGGACCGCCCAUGCUCGCCGUACGCGCAGUGCAAGGUGGGGCCCAUUCGUGUGUUGCCGUACCGCGCAUGCAAUGUCGUACCGCCCGACUGCUGUGCGCGUCGCCCGCGCGCCUCCUGCACCCUCUUCCCCAUCUCGUGACCCCCGGGCGGGCUGGGGCCCAUAAUAAGCUUAGGCCUGCCUUGUGCACGCCGUCCCAUGCGCCGUCCCUCCUGUUGCCGACCCGACUGACACUCCCCUUAUGCCGCCCUGUGCGCUGCUGCUCUUGCCCAUAGGUGAGCAUCAUCGGUCCUUAUAGAUAUGGACCGUAGCUGUACGGGGUUGGGUUGGGCGGGUGAUAGAACCUUAGCCGCACAUCUCUCGGUGCAUUGGGAAGCAAUGCCGGGGCGAGGGCCUGAUCGGCCCCACCCCGUGAGGGUUACGCGAUGAAACGGGUUAAUGAAUGGGCGUUUCAACUCCACGCCUCGGUGGUGCAUGCACAAUGUCGCAGUGUCGACCCUCUCCUUUGGCCUUUCCCAACACACGCACACGUACACGUGCUCGUGCGCAGGCCCGCGACCCGACCCGCUGCGGCGCGCAGUACAGCCGCUACGAACAGGUGGCGUUCUGCGACGUGCGCUCCCCCGCCACCUGGCCCGCAGUGCUGCAGCUGCCGGCGGAGGAGUACAGGCCCGGAGCUGCCGCUGCCGGCGCCGCCGCGCAGUCGCCCGCGUCGUCGCAGCCCGCGCAGCUGUAUGCGGCAGCGGGGCAGUCGGGCGGCGCGGCAGGAGGAGCUGCAGACAGCGACGGCGGCAGCAGCGGUGGCAGUGGCGGCGGCAGCAGCAGCGGUACCGGCAGUAACGGCAGCACGCCGACGCCGCCUGUGGUAGCGCCGUACACAGGUGUGGCGUCGGCUCGCGCGUGCGAUGAAUUGCAGUACACAGUGGGGCGGAUGGGCGGGUGGGCAGGGAAAGGCACAUCAAGCAACACGCCCGGCAAGGCCCGAGUGGAAGCCGCUGGGCGGAGUAGGGUGUCUGGGCUGGCCCAACACACAGACUGGGCCGCCGCACCCACACCACCCCCACCCCGCCACACCCGCCACCUGCCCACCUGCCCACUAUCGUCUUUGCUGCCUUCCCCCAUCCCUCGGAACGCGCGCCCCUGCGCCUGCUGUCUACCUUGCUACACUUUCCUGCACCAUGUUUGCAACCCCCCUCCCCCCCCCUGCAGGCCGGGAUCAGGUCCUGGCGGCGGCCCUCAGCGCCGGGCUGGUGCCGCGCGGCGGGGACGCCGGCGUGGGCGGCCGCAUGCUGAGGGUGAGAGCCGCCGGCCUUGCCACGACACGUUACGUGUGUGUAUGCGGACUGGCAGUGGGGGCGGAACACGGGCUGUUGUGUGACACGUGUCAUCCACUGCGCAACCCGUAUACUAAAGCACCCGUGUGGCUUGCGCCCUGCUUCCUUCCCCCCAACUUCGUUCUCUUUCCCCACACAGGACCUGCUGGACGUGCAGCAGCGCAUGCGCCGAGCCGGCGGCAGCCCCGCCCGCAACGGCAGUAGCAGCAGCAGUAGCAGCAGCGGCGCCAGCGCCCUCAGCACGGCCGGCAGUAGCAACCCACUGCUAACAGUGCUGGCAGGCGCAGUGAUGGGCGGCGGGGCCGGGGCCGGGGGCGGGGCCGGCGGGGCUGCUACUGACGGCGGCGCCGCCUCUUUCGCGGAAGUUGACCUCUGCGACCCGUCAGUUGACGUCCCCGCGCUGUUCGCACGAAACACCGGAAACGGCAGUAGCACCAACGGAACCAACAACGGCAGUAGCAGUGGCCGCGGCAGUAGCAGCAGCAGGUCGUUGCCGGCCGCUGCCCGUGUGCUGGACCAGGCGCAGCUGGCGGCGGCGGCGGCGGCGCUGACGGAGGUGCUGUCCGACUACGACCUCCUUCUAGGCACCCCCACCGAUGCCACCUACACGAACCUGCUGGAGCCGGCGCUCAUUGUGGGCUCGCCGGUGCUAGGCGGCGGCGCCGAUGACGGCGGCGGAGGAGGAGGAGGCAGUAGCAGCAGCGUGCGCGGCGGCGGCGGUGGAGGUGGUGGCGGCGGCGGCAGCGGCGCUUCGGGCUUUCUCAGUGGUGGCGGCGGCGGGCAGUCGGGCUACCGGGGUGAUCCGGCUCAGGUGCGGUGCGUGUGACUGUGUGGUGUGGCGUGUGGUGGCGUGAGGCCCUCCAGUCUUCUGCCCCCAGUACCGCUGCCGUUGCAACACCACCGUCGUCUAACUGCGGUAGUCAUGCCUGCAACGCCCUCCUUCCUUCUCCUCCCUCCCCUCUUCCCCCCUCUCCCCUCCUCCUCCCCCCCCCUGCCCCCCAGGCCCUGCCCCUGUACCACCUGUCCCGCGACUGCUCCCGCCUGGGCCCCACCGACCGCCUGGUGCUGCGGCAGCUGGGCUGCGGCCUCAGCCGCGGGCUGGGGCUGCCGCCGCUGCGGUGCGCCUCCUGGAGCCCGCAGUGGUGAGAGGGGGAGAGAGCCUGCAGGGGGAGGGGGGUUGCAUAGUAUGGGCAAUAAAGACGAGAUGAUGUUCUUGACAGGUUGCUGUUGCAGCAGAUGAGGGGAGGGGGAGGGGGGAGGGGCUGCCGAGCGAAGGGGGGAUUUUAUUUAGCUGCGCUGGGGAAGGGUGCGCGGGGCACGGGUGCGUGUGGAGGGCACGGAAGGGGACCAACGCAAAGCUCGACAAUUUGUUUUCUCCACCUGCCUUCGUGCUUCCGUCCAAUCCAUUCCUGCUUGCAUCCUAUACACGCAUCUGUGCCUGCAAUACGUACCCAGCUAGCCUGCUUGCCGCCUUCACACCCUGGCACUAACACACACACACACACACUCUCUCUCUCUCUCACACACACACACACACACACACACACACACACACACACGUGCAGGCAGUCGCAGGUGCCCGCCAUCGAGCUGGAGCUGCUGUGCGGCUGGGGCGGCCGGAUCGCAGGCUGUAGCAGCAGCGGGAGCAGCACAAGCGGCAGUAGCAGCACUGCCGCCACUACCGCCAAUGCCUCCGCCGCCAACAGCACCGCCGCCGCCGCCGGCCCCGGGGGGUUGUCAGCCGCCGGCGGUCGGCGGCUGCUACUGCUGCACCUGCGGCCGCAGCACCCGCAACAGCCGUCCUCCAUCAUGGUCGUGGCCGCGCCCGACGGCGGCGGUCUGAGUGAGGCCGAUGGCAGCAGUAGCAGCAGUAGCAGCAGCAGUGGCAGUAGUAGUGGCAGUAGCAGUGGUGGCAGCGGCAGCAGUAGCCGACGCGGCGGUGAUGUUUCGAUCAACGGCCAAGGCGUUGCCAGCGGGGGGACCCCGCAGGCGUCGGCUGUAGCAGCAGAAGCAGAAGCAGCAGCAGCAGCAGCAGCAGCAGCAGCAGGAGCCGCGGCCUCGUCAGUGGCGAAACUGUUCCUGGCUACAGCCGCGGACAUGCUGGGGCAGGCCUCGGGCAUGGAGGGCAGCAGCGGGGAGGUGGCGCAGGCCCGGUAUGCCGCAGGUGGCUGGGGCGGCGGCGGCGGCGGCGUGGGUGCGGAAGCGCAGGAGCCUGCAGCUGCACGGUGCGGAGGCGGCACGCAUGCAGAGGCGGAGGUGCAGGCGGCGGCGGCGGGUGUUGUGUCGCGCCGCCGCCGACUGCAACAACAGCAGCAGCAGCAGGGGCAGGGGCAGUCAUCGCCGGACCAGUCACGGGGGCAGCAGCCGCAGGCGGGAGUGGCGGCGGCGGCGGCAGGAGGGGAAGCCAGUCUGCGUAUCGUGCAGUACCCCAGUGGUGUGUACGACUGGGGGGAGACACGCCUGCCGGCGGGGGGAGCAGGAGGCGGCGGCAGGGGCGGCGUGGGCGGGGCUCUGGACCUGAGGCUGUGGGUCAACAACAGCGAUGUCCUGGUGAGUGGGUGAGUGGGCGUGUGUGCACAUGUGUGUGUGUGUGUCAGGAAACACGAGAAGGGGAAUGCAGACUGUGUAUGCAUGCUUCAUAUGCAUGUGUGUUGUGUUGUUGAAAGCAAAGUAACCGGGGUGUGGCAGCGAUUGUAAUUGUGGGGCCCAUCGGCCCAUCGUGCUCAGUGAGUACGGCAGCACAGGAUGUCUUGUGGAGCCGGCGGGCGGGCUACCGUGUGGAUCCGGCGGGCGGCCACGUGUGGAGCUGUGCCGUACCACCUCCGGUUGCUCCCCUCCCCCCCGCCACCAACCCCUCCGCCGCCACACCCUCCCCGCCGCAGGCCAGCAUCGCCCCGCACGUGCAGCGCUGGCCCGCCGCCAUCAACGCCGCCGCAAACGCCUGGCUCACGGCGGCGGCGGAGGCGCUGGCAGGGGCGGCGGCGGGAGCGGCUGGAGCCAACACCAGCACCGCUGCCGGCGCCGCCCGGCCUUGGGUCCUGCGGCUGUCAGGUGCGUUUGUGUGUGUGUGUGUGUGUGUGUGUGUGUGUGUGUGUGUGUGUGUGUGUGUGAGUGUGUGUGUGUGUGUGCGUGUGUGUGCGUGUGUGCGUGUGUGCGUGUGUAAGGCCGCAUGAACAAACACAUGCCUACAAGACGCACCGCUGCACACACUGCUCCUAACACUCGUGAUCAUCGCCUCGCAUUCCCGCACCUUCCACGUGCCCUUCCAACCCCCACCCACCCGGCAACCCCCCCCCUUAAAAAUUCAUGAAUGUAACCCCCCCCGCCUGGACCCCCAGGCAUCAAGGGCUUCCCCACUCGCGGCUCCCCCCUGCGCCUGGACCUGGCCAGUCUCAUGGGGCCGCUGUUCUUCAUGUGGGCCAUGCAGCUGCUGCUGCCGGUGAGGGCAGCAAAAGGGGAGGGAGAGGGGGAGGUGGAGGGAGGGGGAGGGGGGCUGCCGCCCAUGCAAGAGGGAGGCGGUGACACUAACCCGCCGUGCAGACCCAAGAGGCCCAUACUUGUUCACAUGUCUGGGCUUGCGGCGAUACAGCGGUGUACCUGCCACCACAACCCCCAUACACAUAUCUGACACCUGCAUUUUACACACACACACACACGCGAAUUCACACACGCGCAUUGCGCCGUGUUGUUCUGCUUUUGCCACACCCAACGCACAGACGUACGUGCACGCGCUGGUGUCGGAGCGCGAGCGCGGCGCCUCGCUGCUGAUGCGGCAGCAGGGCCUGGCGCCGGGCGCGGCGGCGGCGGCGGCGGCGGCCUGGUUCGGCCUGGUGUACGGCGCCUACAUGGCUGUGUUCGUGGGCUUUGGAGCGGCGGUGCGGCUCAACGUGUUCAUAAAGACAGGCGCGGGCGUGCAGGUGGGAUGGGGGGUUGUGGGGGUGGGGGGGAGGAGGAGAGGGGUUGGGAGGUGGUAGAAGUCCGGCGCGGCGGUACGUUGUAGGGCGGCGUGGCGUGCGCUGCGCCGGGCGCCCCUCUCUGAAAGCCACCCCUAGGCGUCCUCCGUCGGCUUGAUCCGGCCCCCCGCCACCACCCCCUCGCUGCCCUCCGCCCCAGCCGCUCUCUCUUCCCCCCCUCUGCCCACCACCAGGUAUCCUGUACCGCUUUUUUACAUCUUUGCAACCCCCGUCCCCCUGUGCCUGGCUACAACUUCUUUAUGAUUGUACCCCCCACCCUCCUCCAACCAUCUUUGCAACCCCCCCCCUGCAGCUGCUGUUCUACUGGCUGUGGGGCUGCUGCAUGGUGUCCUGGGCGUUCUGGUUCGCGGCGGUGUGGGGCGGCGCGGCGGCCGGCACCCUGGCCGCCACGGCCACUGUGGUGCUGACUGGGCUGGUGGCCAACAUGGUGGUGGCGCAGGUGGGGAGGGGAGGGGAGGGGAGGGGAGGGGAGGGGAGGGGACAGCAAUGCAAGGCCGCACGCGGCCCUUUUGCCAGCAGCAGAGCCUGCUUCCCUCGUCCCGUCCUCUCUGUCAGUCCGCCACCUGACGACCUGACUCACGCCGCCACCUCCCGCCGCCACCUGUACCGCUCUUCCAAGCAUCCUUGCAUCCCCCUCCCUCUCCCUCCAUCCCUCCCCCUCUCCCCCCCCCCUGCCGCAGUUUGUGACUGCCGGCCCGACCUGGCUGGCGGCACUGCUGCAGGUGUUCCCCUCCUUCGCGCUGUACAGGGGGCUGUGGGAGAUGGGCGCAUACGCAUUCCUGGCGGCGGCCAACGGCGGAGCGGGUGCGCGGGGGAGGGCUGGGAGGCGGGGGUGCUGGGGGCCGGGGUGUGUGAUGUGAUGUCUUACCUCUUGCGUAGGGCAGGGUAAGGCCGAAUUUGGGCUGCAAGGGAGUGCCGCAUGGGGCGUGAGCAUAGACAUGUGACAACUGUGUCCCCGCGACUUCACCCGCACGCCCCCCUCCUCCGCCCCCACCCCCGCCCACCCACACCCACACCCACACCCGCAUCCCCCGCCCGCAUCCCUCCGCCCCCCCCCCCCGCCCGCCUCUGGCUGCCUGCUGCAGGCCUGACCUGGCGCCGUCUGGCCGACCCCGGCUGCGGCAUGCUGCUGGUGUGGGCGCUGCUGGCGGGCCUGACGCUGUGGUGUGGGCUGUGCGCAGCAUACUACCACCAGGUGGGCGUGUGGGCGUGUGCGUGCGCGUGUGCGUGUGGGGGCGUGUGUGUACGUCCGCGUGUGUGCGUGUGUGUGGGCGUGUGUGUGUGUGUGUGUGUGUGUGGGCGUGUGUGUGGGCGUGUGUGGGUGUGGGUGUGUGUGGGCGCGUGUGUGUGGGGGGGGCGGGGGUUUGACGGCUGGAGGACCUGGGGAUGACCAGGGUAGAGCAUCAAUCGCUUAUCGCGGCUUGGGGGCAGAGAGGCUGGCAAGCAAAGUCGAUGCGGGGUGAGGGGUGAGGUCAAGGAACGCCUCUCAACCUGCCUCCCUCCCGCCCUCCCUUCCCCCUUCCCCCCACANNNNNNNNNNNNNNNNNNNNNNNNNNNNNNNNNNNNNNNNNNNNNNNNNNNNNNNNNNNNNNNNNNNNNNNNNNNNNNNNNNNNNNNNNNNNNNNNNNNNCCCCCUCCCCACCACCACCACACACACACACACACACACACACACACACACACACACACACACAUUCACACACAGGUGUUCGGGCCUGACGACCUGGGCGUGCGCCUGCACCCCUUCUUCUUCCUGGGGGCGCGACUGGGGCCGGACGAGCCGCGUGGCUGGGACUGGUUCGGGCCGGCGGCGGCGGCGGCGAGGUGGCGCGCGUGAGUGGUGGUGGUGCUGCUAGUGUGGGACAAGGGGUCUUGGGGGGCGUAGAGGUGUGGACGUUGAGGCGGAGGUGGAGACGGAGGGGGAGGUGGGGACAGGACGGGUGGCGGAUAGAAGGUCAGGGGUUGUGCCGUUGGUUGGUGGCGCGAGGCGCGCCGCUGACUGUGGUGCCGCUGACUGUGACGGUGGUGCUACUUUCGUGCCCGCCGCAGGUGGUGGGGCGGCGCCCGUGAGCGGUGGCGCCGGCGCCAGCAGCAGCUGCAGCACAGGUGGCGGCGGGGAGCGGCCGGCCGCCUGCCGCCGCCGCUGACUGGCUCAGUCCCAGUAGCGGGACCGGCAGCGGCGGAGGGACCAGCGCAGGACGCGGGUCGAGGCCUGGCGCCAGCGGGACCGGAAGGCGGAGCGAGUCAGUUGGGGGCCGCGGUCGCAAGCCCGAGAGCCGCUGCGUCGCCGGCGUCUCUGGAGUUGCCGGCGUCGGCGGCGGCGGAUCAGGAGGUGCUGCAGAAGCAAAGGGAGGCGACUCUAGGAAAGCAGGCGGGCCGGCACCAGGGGCAGGAGGGGCAAUCACAAGAACAGAAGCAGGAAGAGGGGCAAGAUGGGCAGGAGGAGCAGGAGGAGCAGGAGGAGGAGGAUGUGCGGGAGGAGCGCCGGCGUGUGAAUCAGCUGUGGGCGGCCAUGACGGCGACCGAGGCCGCCACAGCCACAGCCACAACACCCACACCAGCGGCCACGGUAUCACCAACCACGGCUACGACACCAUUGCCAACGGGCUUCGCCAGCAGCAGGGACGGCGGCUGGGUCUGGAGCAAGCUGCGGGGCGCCACCACGGCGGCGGCGGCGGCAGCAACAGCAGGGACGGCGGCGGCGGCGGCAGCGCCAGGGGGUGGGGUCCCCGGUGUGGCUGAGCGCCGGCUUGGGGCGGAAGAGGUGGCGGGCGGCGGGGCGCCGGCGCUGCUGCUUCGCAACGUGUCCAAGGUGUUCCCAGGCCGGGGGGUGAGUCCACAUGCUGGGACACACCCUGCCGCUGGGUUGGGCUACAACUUGCCCCCGUCCUCGUUCACGUGGACACACCUUUGCCCAUGCUUAUGCACGCCUGCGGCUUCCUCCCCCUGCCGCCCUCUGCUUGCACCCACUUCCCUACCCGCCCCCUCACCACCACCCUACCCGCAUCACCCCAACCUGCCCUCCCCACCUCCCCCACCCCCUCUCCUCCUCGCUCUUUUGCACUGGGUUCGGCUGGUAUCUACAACCCACCUCCCCACCACCUCCCACCACCUCCCCUUCCACCAGGUCCUGACCGCGGCGCCGCACGUGGCUGUGUGUGGUCUGAGCCUGGCGGUGGGCGGGCGCGAGACGCUGGGGCUGCUGGGGCCCAACGGCGCCGGCAAGACCACCACACUGCGCAUCAUGCAGGGUGGGGCGGGGCGGCAGGGGAGGAGCGGAGGGGGGAGGAGAGUAGGGAAGGGGCGGAGCAACAGGGGCACGGCGGGAUGGGUUGGUGGGGCGUUCCUUAGGGCGAACAGGGAGACGUGAAGUCGGGCUGAGACUGUACCUGUAGAUGUGGGUGGCGUGCUUUGGCGUAUUGUGGACCAGCGGGCGGCAGCGGCGUGCAGGAGCUGGCUGUGUUGAGGCCUGCCGUCAGUGGUGCUGCCCCUGCCCCUGCCCCUGCUGCCGCUGCUGCUGCUGCUCCCCGGCAGGCAUGUUGGAGCCGAGUGGCGGGUCGGUGCACGUGUGUGGACUGGAGCUGGCCACGGCGCCGGAGCAGGUGCGGGGGGGGUGUGGGGGUGCAGGGACGGGGUGGCCACAGACGGCAUGAUGGGUGGGAACGUGAGUUUGCAAGGUCGGGCAAGGCAUGUGUGGUAUGACGCACGCAGGCAGCGAGGUGCAGCUGGGCUGGGCUGCUGGUGCAUUGCGCCCCACAACGCCUCUCCAACUCACGAUCGUCACUGCUAGCAUUGCCAUCAUCUGCCCAUGCCUUGAACCCCCGCUACUCCUGCUGCGGUGCUACUGUACUUGUGUGUGUGUGUGUGUGUGUGUGUGUGUGUGUGUGUGUGUACAAGCAGGUGGCCCGGCGCGUGGGCAUCUGUCCGCAGCAUGACGUGCUGUGGCCCAGCCUCACGGGCCGGGAGCACGUGCGCCUCUUCGGCCGCAUCAAGGUGGGGCGAGAGAGGGGUGCAGCCGUUCAUGUGGAGAACGGGAGCGUGGGGGUUGAGGGUCCUCCCAAGCGUAGCAUGCGGCCACCUGCGCAAAUGUGCGCCUGUUGGCGCCUGUCUGUGUUGCCUCUGCCUCCGCGCCCUGCUUGCCUCCCACCGUUCCCCUCCCCACCUGCUUCGCACGUAGACACAAAGCAGGUUUGCUUCAUUCCGCUUUUCCUUUGCAUGCGCGCGCAUGCACAGACUCGUGUUGUUCCCCUUCCUACAUGCACACGCACACAGGGUCUGCGCGGCGCGGCGCUGGAGGCGGCGGUGUCCUCGGCGCUGUGUGAGGCGGGGCUGGGCGACGGCGAGGUGGCGGACCGGGCCGCGGGCGGCUACAGCGGCGGCAUGCAGCGGCGGCUGAGCGUGGUGUGCGCGCUGGUGGGUGGGGUAGUGUGAUGGGGUCGGGUGGUGGGGUGGUGUAGUUGUGUGCGUGGACCGCAAGGGUGACGCCGGGUAAAGUUUGUGUUCCCGAAACAAUCGGAUCUGUGCUGGUUUGCGUGGGCCGUACGCUCACCUUCCCCCAUCAUUCACCCGGUGUUUCCCUUUCUCUCGCCUCCUCCCCCGUCUCGCGCCCGCCAGGUGGGGUCGCCGGCGGUGCUGUACCUGGAUGAGCCCUCCACGGGACUGGACCCGGCAUCGCGUCGGCUGCUGUGGCAGGUGGGGGCGGGUGGUGGGGGCGGGUGGUGAGGGUGGUUGCGGAGGGGUGGAGCCGCGCGGGGCGGGGAGCUGCUGCACAGCGACACAGCUGUUGUCCACCACCACCACCAUCACCUCUCCCACGAUCACCUGACAAACACACACAUACACAUACACACAUACACACUCACACACGCACACACCUGCGUGCACCUCAGCGGAGGGCACCAGCGGCGCCAUGUCAAAUUUGCUGCAUCGCGUACAUUGUGUUUGCGCGUUGUUUUCCUUGUACUCAACACGCACACACGGUCACACAGGCGGUGCUGCGCGCCAAGGCCCGGUGUGCGGUGGUGCUGACCACGCACUCCAUGGAGGAGGCUGAGGCGCUGUGCGACCGGCUGGGGGUGGUGGUGGGCGGCCGCCUGAGGGCGCUGGGCAGCCCGCAGCAGCUGCUGGACAGGUACUCCUCCUACCUGCUGCUCAGGUGCGGGGGCGAGGCGCGCGUGGAUGGCGGGCGCGGCAUGCUGGGAGGUCUGGGAGGUCUGGGGUGUGGUUGUGUGUGUGGGGGGGGGCGGGGGGUUGUGGGAGAGGCGUGGCAUGCGGAUGUUGCUGGGGGGGUGUGGGGGGCUGUGGGGGAUGGCGGUGCGGGAAGUGGCUGUAUAGCUCCUAUACUGCGGUCACUGGGAUGCACUGGAGCAGCGCCUCCGCCGGUGCCGUCGUACACACGUGUGCAUGCACACAUGCGCGCGCCGCCCCUGUGCUUUCUUAACACACACAUACACACACACACACAUACACACACACACACAACACACCGCCUGCGCAGUCUGACGGUGGCUCCCGGCCUGGUGUGCGCUGAGGAGCGGCGCGUGGCGGACGAGGCGGCGGCGGAGUUUGUUCGCAGCUGCAUCAGCCCCCAAGCCAAACAGGUGUGGGUGCUGGUAUGUGCUGCUGACUGCGUCACACCUUGGAGAGCAGCCUCGCCAUAUUUCGGGUGUGCGUUUGUGUGUGUGUACCGUACAUAUUUUUGUACGUCACUUGCUUACCCUCCUCCGCCCACAUCUGCCGCCGCUGCAGGUGUACUGCCUGAACGGCUGCCACAGGUACGAAGUGCCGCGUGGCGGCGGUGGCGGCGGUGGCGGAGGAGGAGGAGGAGGAGGUGGAGGAGGAGGAGGAGGAGGAGGAGGAGGAGCAGGAGGAGGAGCAGGAGGAGGCAGCGGGACAAGUGCGGGCGGCGCCAUCGGAGGCGUGGGUGGUGGCAUCAGCCUGGCCGGCCUGUUUGCGACCAUGUCCCGAGCUAUGGCGGAGGGCCGAGCUGGCAGCAGCAGCAGCGGUGGUGGUGGCCGCAGCGGCUGCGGGAGCAGCGGUGGCGGCGGCUUGGCGGCAACUGGCGCUUCAAGCAGAAGCAGCACCAUUAGGGCUGCAGCGGCAGAGGUGCAGGAUGCAGACGUGCAUGACGAGUCGGCUCCCCUCCACCAUACACGUUCGGGGGCUUGCGCAGCGAGCAUCGGCUACCGCCAGCUGCAGCAGCUGCGGCCUCAGGGCAGCCCCGGCACGAGUGCUGCGGGGAGCGGCAGUUUGGGUUCGGAGGCGGCGGCCGGGUCAGCGGGAGGUAGCGAUGUGGGGACCAGCCUCAGUGGGGGUGGGGAGGCGGCGGGCGGCAGCGGGCGGAGCGGUCAGGCGGGAGAUGACGGCGGCGUGGGCGCUCUGGCGCUUGUGGACUGGGCGGUGUCAAGCGCCACAUUGGAAAGCGUGUUUGUGCGCAUUGCCCGGCGGGCGGGUGCGGUGGUGGAGGCGGCGGCGGGGCCGUGAGCGGGAUGGCGAUGGCGACUGGCGCGGGCUGUUGUUGGUGGUUGAGCUGAGAUUGUUGUGUGGUGGUUGUGGUGCCUGACGUUUGGGGUUAUUUACGUGAUGGGCUGGAGAUUAGCGCGAGAUUGGUUGCGGAGUUGGAAGAUCGAGACCUACAGUGUAUUGCGGUUUGAUACGGGUUGACUGUCGGUCUGGACACCAGUGAUUCGUGUGGACGUUUGCUUUGUGUGUGUUCCGUGAAGGCAGCGCCGCCUGUGUUGAAAGGAUGAGACGCGAGUCCUCAGUGAGACAGGCAGGGCUCGAACAAAUGGUUAUACCCCAGGAACGACGAGAUGUACAGAACUUCUUUUAACCUGGCCAUAACACAGCCUCGGUAGCUUUGUCAGCACUCAGCAGCACGCAUCGCAUUAAUGCUUCAUGCUGCAGUCGUCCAGCCAAAUAUACUGCAGCAAGUUAAUGCCCCUUCCACCUCUCAGCCAGCACUAGCUCCUACCCCUCCCCCUCGACACCACCUCCCGCACAAGCGCCUCCGGCAGCCGCAGCCGCGACGCCUCGCCCCCCAGCGGCCCCUGCCCCUGCUGUCCCUGCCCCAGCCCCUGAACCGAGGCACUGCGUGACUGCUGCUGGCUCCCCCUCCCCGCUCCCGGCCCUGCAUCCCUACAACUCCCGCCUUCCCCUCCGCGCUGCGCCUCCUCACUCCACUGCUCCUCCAGCGCCGCCGCUGCGGCCAUCGUGGCCAUCGCGGUUGCCACCGUUGCCUUGAGGCCGCGUGUGCGUGCCGUGUCCGGUGGCGAGGGCGGCGGCGGUAGGGUGGCCAGCCUCAGCGGCGUUGUGCGCCGCCGCUGCUGCAGCUGCGCCGCCCCUGUGUGUGCAGGCGGCAGUAGCAGUUCCUCCAGGUAGCCGUUCAUGCCGUCGGCGUCAGUCAGCACGGGCAAAGCUUUGGCGGCGCUGCCGCUGUAGGUCAGCCGUGUGGGGGCCAGCUUCGCCGCCGCCGCGGCGGCGGCGGCUGUGGCCGCAUCGUGCUGCUCCACAAUCUGUGCGACCACGUCGUUGACCACCAUCAGGCGGCCGCGGUUGUCAUCGCUAAAAGAGCCAUUGCCUAGCGACGCCGCCGAGGCGGCAUGGGUGAGUGUCUGCUGGGGAGAAGCGGCGGUGCUGGCGGGCAGCCGCAGUUUCGGCACCACGGGUGCGCGGGGCUGAUUGGGGCUGCUAGCCGACUGCGGCUGUAGCUGCUGCGGCUGCAACCGCUGUGGCUGUAGCUGCUGCGGCUGCAACUGCUGCUGUUCCGCCCUGAACGACCGCGACGACUGUGAUGCCUGCAGCAGUGGCUGUAGCUGCUGCGGUGUGUGUUGCAGCGGCUGCUGGCGGCGCAGGCUGCUGCGGGGGUAGAGAUAGUCCGAGGACAGCCCAGCUAGCCCAGCAUCGUCAUCACUUGAUUCAGCCCCUGCGCUGCCGGCGUCAGCAGUAUUGUGGAGUAGGUGCUCGCGGCGCUCCGCUGCGGGCUCCGAAUACUCGUGCCAGUCAGACAUUGAGUUGGCGGACUCGCACGCCCCCGCACCCGCUGGCAGCUGCUGGCCUAAGACGGCGGAGCGCGUAUGCAGCAUGUGGUGCAAAAGCUCCGGCACGGCGGUGGGGGCCGCAGCGGCGGCAGCUGCUGCAGCCGCAGACGGCGGCAUCAAAGGCGGGGCGAUGAAGGUCUGAGGGCUGCCGGCGGCGCUGCGAUUGCCGCCGUCGCUGCAACACGAGAUUCCCAUUGCUGCCCCACCUGCUGCGCCCGAGCUGAGGCCCACGCCAGUGCCUGCGCCGCCCAUACCGAACUGCGACCCCGUGCCACCCAGGCUACUGCGGCUCCGGUCCGGGCUGCUGUAGCACCACGGGCCGGGCGCGCCGCUGGCUGUAGCGCCGUCAGCUGCGCCUGACUGGUGUUGCUGGCUGUAGCCGCGCGUCGCUGCGGCGGUUACUGCCGCCGCAACAUCGGCUACGGACGGCUGCAGUACUGCCGCUGCUGCUGCUGCCGCUGCUGCUGCCUUACGCUCCUCCGUAAUCCUCUCCGCCAUCUGUCCAACCACGCUCCGCGUGCGAUGCGGUAUGCGGCGGUGGUUGGCGGAGGCGAAGGUCGGGGACAUGAUGUGUGGCCGACCGCCACCGAUUGCCUGAGCCGCUGCGCUCGGCGAGGGCGUUGGGCUCAGCGGCGGCGCACCGGGGCUUGUUCCGCCACUGGCAGCAGCACGGGCACUGGCGCCAAGGACGGGGCUGCUGAGCCCACCCUGAAACCUCCCGGUGCUGCUGCCGCCUCCGCUGCCGCCGUGCGUGGUGCUGCUUCCGGCCCCGGACUGCUCCGAGCCGGUGCGCUGGAGCAAGCGUGUGACCGGGCUCGGCAGGUCGCCUCCAGAUGCACGGCCCAAAGGACUGGGCGCGUCUACAACGGACCGUCGCCGCCCAGUCCUGGAGACCACAGGCGGCGGGCCCAACACGGGCGGCGCGCCUGUCGGCGACCCCAGCUGCAGCGGUGGCGGCGGCGGCCGCCGCAACGCCGUCGGCGGCGCUGUGGCGCACCCGGCCCGGAUUCCGGCGCCUGAUUUGUCCUGUGCCGGGAAUUCGACCGAGUCCCACCAGAUGGGUAUCAGCGGUAGGUCGCCGAGGACGAGCGAGGAGGCCGAGUCAAGCGACUGCUGCGGCGGGUCCAACCGCGGGUCUGGUUGUCGGGGGACCGCCGCUGGGCCCUCGUGUCCGGCAAACGCGGUGCUGGCACCUGGCCCAGGGGACGUGGCGCCGCGAGCGGCGCCAGGGGACGGCGGCAGCAGCACCCGAGGCGGCGGCGACAGCCCAGCAGGGUCUGCGCUGGAUGCGGGUCCAGGGCUGGUGGGCGCCACUGCUGUCAUACCGGUGCACAAGCCAGUGGUGCUACUGCUGAGGGCUCGGCCGGCGCGGACAGACCCGGGGCUGUAGCAGCUGCCGGGCCCUGCUGCGGCGGAGGCGGAGGCUGACACAAAGCCCAGCUUGGGUGGCAGUUGUGGCGGCUGCGGCUGCGGAGACAGGGGCACCUGUCCAGGCUGCGACGGUUGCUGCGGUUGAGAGUGCGAGCUGGGUGAGAGCGGCUGCGCACGGCCAUGAUGCGGCUGUUGCGAGGGAAGCAGCUCCGUGCAGCUGUGCGCACGCAGCUGCAUACGAAGCAGCGCCCGCUGCGCGUCCUCCACCUCCACCUCCACCUCCGCCUGACCCACACGCAGAAGCUGCUGCUGCGGCAGCCGCUGUUGGCUUUCCGAGCUCCCAUGGGUUGGUGGCGUAGGUGUGCCGCAGCGUGCGUGUGCGGGCGCCACACCUGCCGUGCCUGCUCCUGACUGUGGUGUGAAGGGACUGGACGAGGCCCUGCGGCGGCUGGAUGAGUGGGACGACUGCCACUGCAUGCCUGCUGGUGGUGAGACACCGCCGCCGCCGCCGCCAGAGCCGAAGAAAGUGUUGUGUGGCUGCGAGGGAGUCUGCUCCAGGGGCUGUGUGCGAUUCAGGGAUGGCUGCGAGAGCGACAGCGUGCGCCGCAGCAGUUCCUGGCCCUGGUCACCAGGGGGCGCCUGUGUGCACACACAUGCACACACACAUACACACACACGCAUAUCAAGAGAAGAUUCAGUGGAACUACAGGGUCGGUAUCUUGCCGGCGGCGUCCAUCCCACGCCACCAUCGUUUUCAAGUGCAAGGGCACGUAGGCCUAGCUUUAGAGUGGUCACUCACUCGGAGCCGGACGGCGCCUGGAGCCGCCGCCGCCGCAGUCAGGCCGGGCGGCAGAGGCGUCAUGGCAGUGGGCGUGCCACUCCUGCUGCUGCUGCGCAUGCCGCCCAACGACUCUGUCCGGCCCAUGGGCACAGGUGUGCUGCUGCGGCUGCUGCGGUCGGCACGCGGCGGUGAUGCGGCGGCCGCCGCGGCGGCUGCGGCGGCCGCCGCCGCCGCCAUCACCGCCUCGCUCUUUCGCUUCUCUGCUGAGAUCUCUUCUAGCAUGGCCUGGGUCAGUGCUUUGCGCGGUGUGAGCGGCUGGGCCUGGCUGGCCUAUUGGUGUUGGUGGGGCGCAGGGGGGCAGGGGGCAGGGGGCAGGGGGCAUCGGUCAUGGGGCACUCGUGCAGUUGGGACGAAGCACAGAUGUGUGUGGCUGGACGAGGCGGCUGCACACCCCUGAUCCAUCUCGCCACGCACGUGCAUACCUGUGUGCCGGACAUCGCGUCGUGUGCGGCAUUGGCCACCUCACGCGCCUUGCGGAUGGCGGACAUGGCGGCGGACAGCGCUUCCGGGUCCCGAGCCACGUCGGCCCAGCGGUUUCGGUUGGAUCCAGGCUGCGGCCGGGGUGUGUGAGCGGCGGGAGGAGGAGGAAGCUCCAGUCAGCAUUGGAAGUCAGGUGCUGGAGUGCGUGUGCGCACACGAUUAUGAAGGAGUGUGUGCGUGCGUGUGUCCAUCGUUAGCGCUGCUUUGUGCCUUGCGGCGGCGCCGUCGGGGAAAGUGAUCCUGCGACCAUCGCUUGCCCCACAACCCUGAGCCCUGCGCGCCCCUAGCACAUCGCAACCCAGGCCAACCCAACCCACUGCCGCCCUCCCCCCUCCCCCCUCACCGUCAUGAUCUCCUGCAUGAGUCGGUCGCGGCUGAGCUUGUCCACCAUGGCCCCGAACGGCAGCGCCAUACCAGUGGGCAACAGGUACUCGCCGCCGGUCAAGUUCUUGCCCAGCACGAACUCCUCUGUGAAGAACAUCUGUGAAGGCCCGUGACACCCGGCACAGUAUGGGCAUCGUGGGUGGGGUGGGUGGGGGGCAGAUGGGGCUGCUGGCCCAGCAGCCAUCCGCACGCUAGUGGGCUGUACGCAUGCUGCACUGUCUCAAAGUGCCCCAUUGUCUAAGUUCAGCCGCGCGCAGGAGGAUGCGCCUUCGCUGCACCGACAGGAGGAUGCCCCGACGCUGCAAUGACAUCAUUCCAGAUCCGUCAGGCUGAGGCAGAGGCUCUACCAAGCAGUUCGCCCACUCAACCAGCGCAUGCACUCAAUUAUAUGCCCGUUCAAGCCAAGACUCAAGCCUUCACGCCCACUCAAACCCAAGCAAGCAGCGCACCUCAAACUCAUCCCAGCCGAUCAGGCCGUCCUUGUUGAUGUCCAUCAGGUCAAUGAGGCUCGUGAUGGUGGCGUCAUCGCAUGGCACCUGCGCCGCCUGCAGGGACGACGUGCGUGCGGCAGCACCACAGAUAAGAGGUGAAGAGGCCCGUGCACCUCACACCGUGCAAAGUACGCGUGCCGCGUGCUAGCCACACACAGCAGGUGCCACACGCAUGCCGCAUGCAGUGUACGUAUGGGUGGGUGAAGACGCCGCACGGCGCACAACAAAUAAGUGGCCCCGCGCGGGGGACGCACACACCUCGUGCCACCCUUACACGCACACGGCAUUGCCAUGCAUGUGCUUCCUGUCGCGCGCUGCCAUGCGUGUGCAGCACACACACACACACAUGCCGUGUCAUGCCAUCUCCCGCACUCACCUUGAGCGCCUCAAAGAGCUCACUCCUGCUGAGGGUCCCCGACCCGUCGUCAUCCACCAGCUCGAACCUGCGGCACCAGGUCGAGAGUGGACGUGGUCAUUCAGGUGACGUGGCUCGCAGGGGAUCCAUCAACCCGAGGUCGUCACACAGCCUCCACGUGCGGAUAUGUGCACGUGGCGUGCGUUGCCGCCGCCGCCGCCAAGACAGACAAACAGAAGGCCGCGCACCACUUGGCAAUGAGGCGCUCGACUGCCGGAUGCAGCUCAUCCACAGUUCCGAUCAUGCGGUGCGUGUGCAGCCAGCCGCGGAUGUUGGACGUCUCGCAGCUGCGUGUGGCCUUGGCCUGCAGACAGAGCGCAGCGUGCCGUGCGUGGUGGCAGGAGGCACGUUGCAGGAGUGCUCAGGGCCGUUUCGGAACAGUCACAGGGUAAGGAUUGAAGACGGAAGCUAUUGAAGGACUGCCAAGGAUGUCGUGUUCCGUGUUGCACAGUGGCUCGCCCCAGGGCCUAGCCCAAGGUGGAGGAAGCCGGGGUGCGUGGAAACCCUGGUUUUGGGGCGCCCCCUGCGGCAUUUCCCAAGCCCCAGCACCGCCUGCCGCAAAUGGAGCGCGAUAACUUCGCAUGCAACAAUUCUGCUUAGGAUUUCAAGCUACGGUGGAGGCUUGGUGGCGACAUGUGCGCGCGUGACAAAUGUUGAAUAUUCAGGUGCCGUCAGCCGGCGGCUGUGCAGUACCAGGCCUCGCUGCAUCAUGUUGAUGAAUAUGACAGUCUUACCUUAAGAGCCUCAUCGAGUCGUGGGAGCCUCGCAAUUUUCUCUGGUCCAGGAGACCGAGGUGCCAUCACGCCCGACGCCCGCGCAGCUGGGCACGCCUAUUACUCGCUAGAUGACAUAGUUGCACUGAAUGUAUCUCUCUUGGUGAAUGCGAGAAUCCGUCUGUUAGGAAACCGCCUUGACCAGGUGCUAUUGUAGUUCGAGCCAGGUAGAUGCCUAGUAGUCACCGGGCCUGCGAACGCAGUACUCGUAAGAAUUAAGUGCUGGAAAUGGUGCAGGUGGCUGUUAAACGGACCUGCACUUUCAAUCGAACGGUCACGGUUUCGGACUGCCCGUGCGUUCUCACAGCAUUUACUUGAAGCAUAGACAAAAUGUUCCAUUCACACGGUCAGUUCUCCAGAAACAGCAAGAAUGGAAGAGUGGCAGACCCAUGACGAGCAAGUUAGCGGGCGUCCGUUUGGUGCCGUUUUUGCCCCAAUAUGGCCCUCCGUUAUAGCCGUAACAUUGCUGUAGUGCAACCCUCCAGACGCUCAGUACGGAUACAGAAGGGCUGUCUCCUUCUAGCCCCACCUACCCCAACAUGCCCCCACAACAGCCCACAUCCACAGAUAGGCCCAUGCCCUCGCCCUUUGAACUCCACUCACAUUCCAUUAUUCGUGUUAAGCACCGCAAUCAUGCUGCAUAUAGGCUAUGCGCAUUUAGCGAAGUCAUUCACGCGGUCUGCCACUCUAGCGCCCCUGGAUGCGAAAGUGCAUCGUGCACGUUUACUGCAAAGCACACCCGAGGGCACGCCACAUCGAGAUAAGUUACGGUACUACCUACUAGCUAUGGCCCAUGUAGCAGGAACGCCGUAAAAGGACUUGAUGACGAGCUGGGGCUACCCUUAGAGUAGGGACUUACGCGCCGUCAGGCCUUCCUCCCACACUCUCCCCCACCGGGCCUGGACGUCCCGGCCAGGGGUAGUGUAGCCAUCAGGCUCUACACGCAGUUUUUGGGCUGAGCCCCCCGAGCGAAGCGAUCCAGGGGGGGGCGAAGCCCCCCAGGAUUGCCCCUGUCCGUGCGUGCGUGCGUGCGUGGUGUCGGCAAAACAUAGCAUACUGGCGCAAACCGCGAGCGCCACGUAUUAUUAAUUGCUAUUCCCUAUUGUAGAAAAAUAGGCGGCAGGGAAAACUCGGCCGGAGUAAGAAGCGACCUCGCGAGUCCAUGGACAUCUUGACUUUCUUCAGUCCGCGAGUAUAGCUCUCGGGCCCUGAAUAUCUUACAUCCAUGUAUCAAAACAUGUCGACGACAAGCGUCUUGGGGCAAGAAUGUCGAAAUCUUGUGCAACAGCCGAACCAUGCGUGCCGAUCCCGCCUUAAUUAUGUCGCGGCCCCGGAUCACGCGCCCGAGCCCCACUAGCCGUUUGUGGUGCUUGUGAGGGAUUUGGAAUGAGGUAUGACUCAUGUGUGGAGUGGCGUGGACAGGGCGUGGCGGUGCCUUUGGUAUGCCCCUUUGCCAGUCCCGCUGGGCUUGCAAGGGUGCUGUUCAUGUCGCCGGUACCCAUCGUCACAUCCCUUGCUCUAGGGGCUCAGCCCAUUUUCCAGCUGUACAAAGCUGACACCCCUUGUUCGCAGAAGCAUUCGGAGUAAUCAUCAGAAGACUGCAGGAGGAGCGUGCCUCUCAUCGCGUCAGGUGGACUGCGGGAGGAUCUUGCCUCUCAACGCGUCGCUAUCAAAUCAAAUCGAAUUGAAUGCUUCGCUACUACACUUUGUGUAGCCUCUUACGACGAUCCGCGCGCACAGCGGAUUGAACUCGUGACCUCUCAAACGUGUUCGCUCGAGUUCAGAGAACCUGAAUGCUCGAUACCAAUGUAGCAGGAACGCCGUAAAAGGACUUGAUGACGAGCUGGGGCUACCCUUAGAGUAGGGACUUACGCGCCGUCAGGCCUUCCUCCCACAGCCCAGCAGGGGACGGAACCAACACAUCACAUGCACCCUGCCAGCCUGCGGAAGCACCCCCGUGCAGUGCUCACGUGCGGCGCAGGAGCCUGCUGCCCCGCCUCCGCCUGCGGUCCGGCGCGCCCCAGCCGCCUCUCCGGCCGUCCUUGCUGAUUGUGACCUGUAGGUGGGGCGAGGCAACAAGCGCGACGCAGUCACACCCGGGACAGCAGCAGCAGCAGCAGCAGCAGGCGCACACAGUGGGUUCACGCGCUGCAGUGCGCUCCCGUGCCUGGAGAGCACCCCAGCACGUGCAGUGCCCGCAGCAGCCCAUCGGCAACCCGUCGGCAACCCGAGGGCCAAGGCGUCGCCGCUUGCAGAGGAUCAGGGACGUACCUGCGUGACGUCUCCCGUGUGCACACUGAGGCCAAACGCCUCGUUGUGUCCCGACACGCCGCGCAUGCCUGUAGGAAGCACACACGUGCGGCCGAUCAGUCGCGUCCACGCGGUCAGCACGACACUGCACACAGAUCGAGGUGGACAGAUUGAGGUGGACAGAUGACAGAGACGACAUGCGGCUGGGAGGGGCGCGCCACUGCCCACAGCCCCGACCACCAGCAGCAAGGAAUGGGUUAGCGCAGGAGCCGAGGUGGCGGAACGACGCGGCCACCCACGCGGCCACCCACCCGUGCUGAGUCCGGGCCGCUCCGCUAGCAUGACGCCCGCCACUUUGAACUUGGUGCCGCCGCCGCUGCUGGACUUGUCCAGCACCUUCACAGCCACCACACACUCCUUGGACUGGGUCACCUGAGGCGGGCGAGGGGAUGGGCGGGUGGGUGGCAGUUGGUUCGGGGCCUCGGGUGGGGGGCUGCGGCGUGGUGCUGGUGGUGGGGACGCGACACGUUCCAUGACCUUCUGGCACAGAUGCCGUGCCCUGUGCCCUGAUAUCUUCCCCGGCACUGCCCUGCCGGGCCCCGCCCCCAGCCCAAGCCCCGGCCUCGCCCCUCCCCCCUCUCUUGCCUCCUUUCCUCCCCUCCUGUUUGCCCUCUCGCCUUGAGCUCUGCCAGGUAGAGCUGGCUGACGCGCAUGGUGAUGUGCGCGUCCACUGUCACCGGGUCGCAGGUGCAGCCGGAGGUGCAGCUGGGGGGGGGGCAGGAGGAGGUGGGGAGGGCAGGAGGAGGAGGGGGAAGAGAUGGGCGGGGCACGGUGAGGGGCAUGCACGGCUCACCGCGCAUGCAUGAGAUAUUGGGAGAGCCAGCAAGGCCAAGAGUGCUGAAGGUCGCUUUGGAGCACCGUACACGAUUUACAGGAAUAAACCAGAGACGCGAAGGCGCAGGGGUGUGUGUGGGUGUGAGGGGAACGCGCCCGAGGCCGCACCGACCAGCCAGCGCGGCCCGGUGGUGUGUGCCAGCGCCUCACCUGAACUCCGCUUGGCCCAUGUUCUCAUAGCUCCUCAAGUGCUGGAAGAACACUGUGUGCAUACACAUGCACACGCACGCACACGCAUGCACACGCAUACAGCAGAGGCCAGCACUCAGCAGGUUACCCACGCAGAUUCUAAAGACGGGCGUGCCACGUCGAGCCGGGCUUGCUUCCUCCGUCCCCUCCCCUCCAGGCCCUCCUCGUGUUCCCUCGCCAGCGCUGUCUCCCGGCGCCUCCUGCUCGCCUACCUGCCGUCCCUGCCCUCCCCCCGGCUGUCGUUCAUGGACGGCGACCCCCAACACCCAGCCUACCCUUGACGGGCUCGGUGGAUUUGGAGAUGGCGGAGCGGUCUGUGUCCAGGCGCAGCGUCAGAACGCUGCCGGUCUUGUUGGUUACCCAUCCCCACUUGGGCUUGUCUGCGGGGCCGCGGGUUACGGUGCGUGGUGGUCGUCAAUAUUGGGUUGUCAUGGACGCAUGCGCACAGCGGGCAGGGAGAUGCACAAGCACAGCAGGCUGUGUGGAGAGGUCGAGUGGCCAUUGCGCAGGCAUUUCAACGAUCGGUGCUCGGACACACGGACACACGCGGCCUCCUCGGCCCCAAGCAGUUGACGCACCUGGGCGGCCCUCGUUCAGGUACUCCCACCCCUCCGAGGACAGGGUUAGGUUCCUGCAGACCACACACACACACACACAUACACAUGACAGAUACAAUUACAGUGAGGCCGUGGAGUGAGGUUGCUUUAGCACAAUACGCACACCGUACACAGUGCUCACUAGUCUUUCCAAAGACAAUAGUCGGCCAGAACACACCGAAUGAACACUGCCGUCGUGGGUCACAGAGCAAGGGGCAGGCCGAGCCGCCAAGCCUUCUGGCUCGGCUUGCCGGAAGCCACUACCUAACGCGGCCCUGGCCCCAAGCGCCACACUCACCUGAAGGUGUCUCCCACGUGGCACAUGGUCAUGUACGGCGGCUCGUUGUCUGCAGUGGGUGCCGUACGUGUGUACGUCCAGGGGGGGACCAGAGGCACAUGAGGAUCCAGCGCCUCAGAACACGAAGAGCCAUGACGGCCCCUCUCGCCACCCAGACGCCCUGGCUUCCAAGAACCCUAAGCCCCCACACCGCAGCCACACCCGCAUCCCCGCCCGCAGCCCGCAGCCCGCCGCGCACCCAUACGUCCGCCGCCACACCCUGCCCUACCCACCCGUGUACAUGGUCUGCUUGGGCACCCCCUCCGCGAUGACGGCCUGGUCCUCGGGCCCGAAGGGGUGCAGCAGCAGGUCCAGUGCCGCCUGCUGGAUUAGAUACACCGUCUGAAGGGGGCGGGGAGGGGGGGGGGUUGCAAAGAUGGUUCAGAGAAGUGUAGCGAGGGUAGCUGGGGAAGGAGGGGGGCGUGCUUUCACCAUGCCCAUCAGAGGGGGGCGGGCACGUGGGCGGAGAGAAGGGGACAGGAGAGAGGGCGGAAUGCGAGGGGCAAUGCACCUGCAUGGUCACCCACCGCAAUGAGACAGCUGUGACGGCUGCUUCGUGCCACGCCGCGUCACCACAGACCAGAACUUGAACCAUCGCAUUCGCUGUCACAUCCAUCAACCCUACAGGAUACCGUGGUCACCAUGGCUGAAUGUUCCUCCCAUUUGCAAACAUCCAACCACACAACCCCGCCCCCCCCCCACCUCCUCACCAGGUCCGCCAUGGCCGCGUGCCCCAGGUCCCCCGAGUGGAAGUCGGUGAAGAAGUUCUCCCACAGGAAGCCCUCCUGCUGCUUGAAGCCCGACAGCCGGUACAGGGCGCUGCGCUGGGACAGAGACUGCGGGCAGCGGCAGCGGCAGCGGCAUCAGCGGCAGCGGCAUCAGCGGCAUCAGCGGCAGCGGCGGCAGCGGCAGCGGCAGCGGCAGCGGCAGCGGCAGCGGCAGCGGCAUCAGCGGCAGCGGCGGAAGAGAAGCGGGAUAGGGAGGUGGAAACAACAGUGCAAAUGGAGGGUGAGGUUGAUGGUUACUAACGGCGUCAACUUGGAACCAGCAAUUCACACACAUCUUGACAGGUCGGGCAGGGAUGCCCCAUGUGUCCCCAUGUGCCCCUCCUCCAUAUCCCCCGCACCCCCCCCCCACAGUUUUCUGUUUUAAGACACCCCAGGUGCCCCACCAUGCCGCCCCGCCGCCUCACCUGCACGUCGUAGUACUGCGACAGGGCGCCCUGCGCGUCCUCCGUGGACUCGUAGAAGUGCCGCCAGCCCCCGUAGAACUUGGGGUGGCCCGGCGGGUACGUGCCCUGCGCGACCGGGAGGCAAGGGGCGUGCACAGUCAGUCCGUCAGCGCGUGUGUGCGUGUGCUCGCUCCGGCCCUCCUCUCGCGCCCCGCAUGCGCACAGCGGGACUACCGCCCGAGUACAUGACUGCGUCCCCAUACCUUCAAGGCUGCCAGUGCCCGUUCCUUUGCUCCGGGCCCCCGUCGUCCCGCGCCCCCCUUGCGCCCCCUGGUGCUCCACUUUGAUUUCUUGACUACGCAAACCCCCUUCCCGCCACCACCAUCUCUCUAGAUCUACCGGGGCUGGUCUCGACCGCCACCCCCCCUUGCCCCGCCCCUCGCCCGCCCACCAUGUUGUGUGUCAUGUGGUGCAUCAUCACCACGGCCGGCUGCUUGGGCAGCGCCAUGAUGCGCCGCAGCAGCCGCUCCAUGCCCUUGACGAUCUGUGUCCGCGCGUGUGUGUUUGUGUGUGUGUGUGUGUUAACAAAGCAAAAGCCCGCCCGAGUGCGUGUGUGCGCGCGUGUGUGUGUGUGUGUGUGUGUGUGUGUGUGUGUGUGUGCGUGUGUGCGUGUGCGUGUGUGUGUGCGUGUGUGUGUCAGGUGGAGACACACGCAAAGUAAGGAGAGAGAGAGGGCGGUGUGCGUGGUGGAGGCGGUCCAGGUGGCGGCGGUUGUGGGGUCAGUAGUCGGGGGCGAUGGGUCACUCGCGUGCAGCACGGCAGCCGGGUAUGCCAGGCACGACACUGCCGCUGGCGCCGCCGGUGCUGGCUGGCUAGCUGGACGGCCGGCCGCAUCCCGGCGCAGCACGCUAUACGGCGCCCACCACCCACCGAGUUGUCGUACAGGUUGGAGUCGUGCCCGUCACUGCGGAACCAGCGGCAACCCAGCGGCAGCAGGAACAGGAGGAGGGGGCGGACAGGGAGCGACGUGUGAGGCAGCGGAUUGACAGCGGCACCACGGUACUUGACACGCGCGGAGGCGCAACCAAUCAUGCCAAGCAGGGUUGCAAAAGGCCGCAGACACGCGGCCAACGGCCCGCUACAAUAUCCCCAACUGUUGGUGCUGUUUGAUUCCGCCAAACACACCCACACACGCACACAAUACGCAAAGUCCAGCGUGUUUGUUCGCUUGUGCCCUCCAAACACAUGACACCCACCACACAGACGCAGCGACACGCCCACGCCCCCACACACGACUGGGCCCACACCCGCCCGCCCCCCCUCACUUGAGUGUGUAUUCUGUGAGCACCAGGUCCACGUCCGCAUCCACACUCAGCUCCAGGCACAUGCUGCAGGGCAGGCGACGCGAGGUGAGGCGAGGUGAGGCGAGGUGAGGGGAGGUGAGGGGAGGUGAGGCUAGUUGAAUUGAGGCGGCGUAGCGUGGCGUGGUGCAUCCGGUGUGGGUCAGCUCAUCAGCUAUCAUCAGCGGUGUGCUCAGGACCGCGGGCACGCCGUGCACUACCGCUGUUUGAAACCCGACCCACAUUCCGGCCUAUCCUCCUGAAGGGCUCCUGGCACACACACAGCGGGUGUGUCGGUGCUUCCACAUCCCGCUGCUACCACAGCGCCUACGUGCGCCUCGCUGCUCGCUGCAUCUCAUAUUCAUUACUGGGAGGUGUGACAACAAACCACUCGCGCCACCCGCUCGCCCGCCGCCGCGACCCACAUCAUGUAUGAGGACGGCACGCCCGGCGUGCAGCCGUUGCGCGUGGUCACGUUGCUAUUCGGAAAGGCCCGCACCUGCGGUCAGGCGGCGUGCAGGUGGGCAGGGUGGAGCAGGCCGUGAAGAGCUGUGCGCUGCUAGAGUGCGACCCGUGAGCACUGCCGCAUCCAUGUACACCCGAAGACCCCAUCCCUUGCCAGCAGCCGUAGCCUUCACGCCAGCCCAACACUGCGAGCGCUUGCCCGGGCGCUAGUCACCCUAGAUUGUCCAUCGGAAGCCCGAAGGGCAAGACGCCUCGACCUGCCUAAGGCCCCAGGGGGCCGCACACACAGCCGAGGGCAUCUCACCAGGUAGUUCCCGACCAGGGAGAACCAGUCGUUCACGCCGCGGAUUGAGGCGCCCUGGCCCCACGACACACUGCAACAGGGCGGCGGAGGGGAGUGGAGGGGGCUGGGGUCGGGUCAAGGACUGACGGCCGUAGCAUGAUGGCGCCGGCAGCUCGCCACGGACAGGCAGGCACAGGCACCCGCCACCCAACACCCGCCACCCGCCACCAAUCCAUCACAGCCCGUCAAGCGUCUGUCCCACCCCACCCCGUCAUCCCUACCGCAGCAGCUGGUGGCGUCGCACGCCCGCCCUGGACGCGACACACGCAUGCCCGCCCCGCCCGCCCCCGCACGCCCGUCCCCCCGCACCUGCCGCCCACCAGGCCGACCUUGAUGGGCUUGCCCGACAGUGCGUCGUGGAUGACGCGGCGCAGGCGGGUGGCCGCGCCCAUGUACACCAUGCCGCGCUGCAGUUGCUGCAGGCAGGUGAACACGAUGUGGGUUGGAAACCGUCGUUCAGGCGGUGGGUGUGACGUGGAGCGUGGGGGUCCAAAUAGCUGACAAGCCGCACACCGCCAGGUUCAUUCUGAUCAAAAUCGGCUCCGGAGCUUGCGCUCAGGAGCUCCGGCCAGUGGUCAAGGACGUGGUACCCUGCACUUGCAUGACGCCGUCUAUCAGGGCUGACUGCAAGUGGGCUGUGCAUCGCUAGGGCCCGCCCCUCGCUGGUCGCUCACCACGCGCGGGAGUGUGAAGUUGUACCGCAGCAGGUGUGAAAGCACGCUAGAGACCCGCUGAUUGUCCACCGUUACGCGCGUGAACGUAUGGCCCCAAUUCCAUUCCAGGUCUGGUCUCCGCUUGGUCCUCUCCCGCGCGUCAGGUUCAAAGGCUGGCCCCUGCAGCCAAGGUACCGAGUCGCUGCCAUUAUCCCUUUGCACGCACAGUUUAGCAGACCAGGCCGGUGGUAGGCAUGGGCGGCGGCUGCCGAAGAGGGAGGGGCAGGUGGGUGUGUAUGCACGGGGCAGGGCGGCCAGAGCAGUAGCAAGGGGUGUUGUACCGACCACCAGGACUCACCAUCUCGUGCCCGGCGCGCAAUGCCGAGGGCAGCGCUACGAGCACGCAGCAGAUUAGCCACCCUCUUGGCAGCAUCGAUCACUAACUAGCACCUAAAGUUGGAAACGAUCAAUUGGAGAUGUAUAUCCACCCCCUCAGAAACAGAGCUAAACCAUCGUUAAGCUUCAUGUACACAUUGUAUCACUACGCUUAGCGUACGUCAAUAAGGUUCGCUGAAGGACGCUUCGCAACAGUUGGAAUGUUUCGCUGAGUUGCGGGUCCGAAUUGUGCCGGCCCCUGCACUUAUGUAACGACCUAGAUAGAUUUGAUUGGAAGCCAAGAGCAGAAUUACCAUCUGGUAGAGCCCGGUUCGACGCUGGCCGAUCUCGGCGUGCCAUACCCUGGGGCCGCCUUGAAAGCUAGCGCUUACCUCGGGGCCAAACCAAACCCCAACCUCUCAAGCCCGCGUGUAAGUGGUUACCCCCUGCAUCAUACAACCUCGAUGCAAGGCCCAAGUGCUCGACCAGGCCGGGUACAUGUCGACAUAAGUAGGGUUGUGCCGCCCCUGAGAAAUAGAAAUAUAGCCUAGAACAAUUCUACAUUAAUAUAGUGUAGUUUUGAGAAGUUCUGCAGAAGAGGGGUAGAGCGUUUCCGCAGUAGAACGUGCCGAAAUCUGGACCCAGUCGCUGCAAAAUUGGCGUUAAAGCAGGGAUUUUUACUCCUUUCUGUUUCAAACACUCGUAUGUCAAAUAAGUACUAGUUAUCAAACAAUGGCACAGCAUGCUGACAAGCCGGACCCUCCGGGAAAGCCCGAGGAGUAAAGUAUGGCGACAAGCAGCUGGGCGCCACUACGUACGCUGCCACUAUAAAAUAGGCAGUAUGAUCGACACUAUCAUGCUGAAGUUGGGUUUGGGUGGCGUGCCACACGCGGACACGCCAGACCAGGGGCGACGAAGCCCAGUUCGACCCCACCCACACGGUUUCCCGUCCCACCGAGUCAUGCAAACGUCUGGAUCCAGAUGAGCGGCUAUCCCAGUAAAAUGCCAGCCCGGAAAAGUCAUCAGGCUAAGAGAUAGACUCGAGCUUCUAUUGCUAAUCCUACUGUUCUAGAUUAGUUAUAGGGAGAACUAACAUUAGAAGGGAUUUGAUUCUCAGGGGCGGCACAACCCUAGACAUAAGGAAAGCGCAUCACCUCUGCUGGCACAUGGCACGUAUUUUCUGCGCUGCAGAUAUGCUCAUUGUAGAGCGCAUGUCAAACGGAAUGAGUCAAACGAAGGUUGAUGUCGAAACUCGGGGCUCCAGGUCAGGGGUGCGGCGCCGGUGUGAGCGAAACAGCCCUGAACAAAACCGAAAGUAACUCGUGCCGUCCCGCGCCGCGGCUGGUGUAAGGCUGGCUUUUCGAUAGCCAACUGCGCGGGGGUAUGGGCCAAGAGCGAAUCGCUGCUGUCAUGGCACGUACUUGUCGCCGCAUCAUGUCAUCCUGCCCUAACAGCAUUUUCUGCUUCGUAUACAACUUCGGCCCAUAGGAGUUGCAUGGUGCAUUAUAUUACUGCCGCAUUAAAACGCUAUGCUCCUUUGGAAAACAUAAGGACGUCGCACUCAAGUAGCCUCACGUCGUAAUUGCAGCUUCGCACCAAAACACUCGACCAGCAGUCAAAUCCCGUUGGGCUACUGCUAUGGUGACACAGCCGUUCCAGGGCCUGGAUUAGUCUUGGGCAGUCCGCCUUCGUUAGCAGGAGCCUGUGCGCCAUGUCCUCUGAGGAGGUGCUCAAGCUAGCGCGUCUGCCGCGGCUUGAUACAAAUGCAAAGGUGCCUGAGAGUACGAGAUGGGUGCAAGCGCAUAAGUUCUGUUCUAGGCACGUGCCGUGGCUCUGCAGCGGGUGACCGCCGCGGUGUCGUUGCAGCGUCGGGACAUCCUCGCGGUGACUUGGACAUUGGGGCAGUUUCAGACAAUGCAGCAUGCGCACACCCCACCAGCGUGCGGGUUGCUGCUAGUCCAGCAGCCCCACCUGUCCACCCGAGUACUUGGGUAUAGAAUCAACCCCACACACCCGUCCCCCUCCCACACACACACGCGAUGCCCACACCGUGCCGGGUUUCACGGGCCUCAACAGCGGUACGACAGCGCAGCCACAGCCAGCAGACACGAAGAGGCGUGCAGCUCCCAUUCCCAACCAGCGCAGUGCUGGUCUCUUUCCCUUGGACCAGCGCCACGCGUGCCAAGCCCAUGCCCCCCCCCAACAUCCGCAACUUGCCCGCUCCCGCGCAGGCCAAGUGUGCUCGUAGCGUGGUGAUGGCCAACAUGCGCGCCUGGCUGCACACGCACGCCAUGGUUGGGAAGGUGGACAAGUUGCAUCCCGCCGUGGAGGGCAUGAUUGAGAAGGUGCGCACCACGAUGCCCACAACCUUGGCAGCGUGCGCGCUUGUUGGUGUGUGACACACAAACGCGGUCUGGCUACACGCAGUUUGCAUGGCUCCGGGCGCUCGUGCUGCGUUGCGUUGAAUUGGUGUGGCCCGGUCCGCAAGCUCGCUCUUCACUAGUUCGGUAUCCCCACGGUCCCGCUGUACUCCAUACACCGCCCCACGAUCCGGCCGGCCCUUCCCGCAUGCCCCACCUGUCUCGCCCUCCUCUCAUGUCCCGCUUUCCUCCCGCCUCUCCACCUGCUCUCUCUGUAGUGGUUUGAGUUGGUGGAUGAUGACGGCAGCCGGACUCUGAGCCACAGCGAGUUGUUCUCCGCGCUCAAGGUGCGACACAAGAGCGAGCGAGCUUGAAUGAUCGCACAACCCCACAGGCCACAUGCUUGACGCGCUUGGUAUUUGUAGGAGGGGGCCAUGUGCGCAAAGUGCGCUGAGUACUGGGAUGAGCGCAGGUCAGCGACACCUCAGGCGCAGUGCACACGCUGCGGUGUCUCCUACUCCUAGUGUCGGUUCGCGGGGCAGGCACUCUACAGCUGCAGCAUGCCCACAUGCCGUGACCACACGGCCCUCCCCCACACUCCUCAGGCCGCCAAGGUGCCGUGCGAUGACGCCACCAUCAAGACGCUCAUCGGCCUCAUGGACGUGAACAAGGACGGCAUGAUCGGCUGGGAUGAGUUCGAGGUGAGCAGGGGAGGAGCAGAGCAGGCAGGCAGGCAGGCAGGCAGGCAGGCAGGAAGGCAGACAGGCAGCAAGCGCAGUGCCUAGGGACAAGUGUCUGGGGCAGCGUUGUGGGGGAGGGUUGGCGCCUGUAGGUGUGCACCGGUGCAAACCGGGCUCUGCCCACGCCCGAGUGCGUAUGCGUGUGCUGGGGAGCCCCACGUCGGCCGCUCUUCUGACUCCAUCCCGCUCACUCGCUCACAGAUGUUUAUGACGGAGGAGUUUGUGGCCGGCAAAAGUCUGCUGGGUGGCGAGUACCUGUUGCCCACUGGUGUGGCGCUGCCGUUCGGGGCCAUGGUGGACAAGCUCAGCCGCGACCGACUCAUGCAGGAGAUCAUGACGGUGGGGGGGGAGGGAGGGGGGAGGGGGGAGGUUGUGGCGUGCUAGGGAUGCAUGGGAGCCCGGAAGUGGAGGAGACGAAAAUACAAUCAAACCAAAGGAAAGGUUGAGCGUAUGUGCACACUGCCGCAUGCGCGAUGCCACCGGGCUGAACCAGACAUUUGCGUCGCUUGCGUGGCCUCCUCCUGCCGCAGCCCGGAGCCAGCCGCAACCGCUGGGCUGACGUGGCUCGGGACCCGGAGGCGCUGUCCAAGGCUGUGUCGGGCAUUAAGAUGGCGGCGGAGGUGACGGCCGCCACCGCACCGCGCGGCGCGCCCUCGUCACAGGUGCGUGUGGCAAUUGAGCGCGUUCGCGCGUGCGUGUGCCACUAGUAGGGCACGUGAUGAGCCCGAUGCUGCUGAGAACAUGUACUGCUGUGCCCCGUUUGGCGCUGCCUGACACGGCAUCCCACCUCUCGCCUUUCGUCGCAUGUCCUGGUGUUCAUUUUCCCCGAGCAGCUUUCCGACGGCGGCGGAGGCGCGGAGCCGCUCACGCCGCGGCAGGCGCUCACUGCAGCCAUGUUGCAAGAGCUGGAGGCGGAGAAGGCCGCAGCGGCGGGAGCAGGCGGCAUUGCGUCGCCGGUGCCGCUUGCGGGGGCUGCGUCGAGCGGCGGUGUGCCGCCGCAACUCACUGCCCGCAACCCCAUGCACGCCAACGUAAGUUCCGGCGUCUGGGACAAGGCGGGGAGUGCCCACAAUGGGAUCGCGGCAAUGCAGUCGCAGCUCUUCACAUGACACCGUUUCGUGCGCUAAGAUGUCCCACCUGCGCCCUGACCUCCUGCCGCAGCAGCCAAAUGGAACCCUGCUGCGUCGCUCGUUGAGUACCUCGGUGUCGCAGCACGCGCGAUCCGUCUCGCCGGGCCCCGGAUCGCCCGGUGGCAGCGCCGUGUGCCCCGCUCCCGGCUCCGGCGCGGCCACCGCCCGCACCAGGACAGGUCUGUCGCCGCUGCCGGCCAACGCAACUGCGGCAGCGGCCGUUGCCGCGGCAUCCGGGUCCGCCACCGCACGCUCGCCGUUUUCUGACUCGCCGCGCUCGAGCGCUGCCGGCGGCCACGGGUCCCGCCUGGUAUCACAGAUGGCAGCGCUGUUUGGGAACGGCAGCGGCAGCGGCAGCCCUGGAGGAGGUAGCAGCCGAGCGAACAGCUUCCGGCGGCGCAGCACGGGCCCUUUCAACGCGGACUUUGGCGCGCUGGCAGGGGCGACAGCAGCAGCGGGGAACGACUACCGCAGCAGCCCGGGCGGUCGGAGCCCCGGCGGCGCCUCCCCCGGCGGCGCCAGCAUGCCGCUGCCUCCCAUGCCUUACUGCUACACCGUCCACUCGGCUGCUCAGUCCUCCGCUUCACCAUCCAACAUCGCUGACGAACUCUGCCCCUUCGGUGGAGGCCCCGGCGAUGAGGAGUAUUACGAGGCGGACGGGCCCUUAGCCGGUGGCCGCCUGACGCCGGGGCGGCGGGAUGGCACUGCACCGGAGCUUCCGCGCGCACACAGCUGCUCCAAUCUCCUGCCCUCCCAGCGGUCACAGCUGCUGCUGCAGCGGCAGCAGAUGCAGGCGCAGCUGCCGAUCGUGCCGCCGCCGCUGACGGUGCCGCGGGGCGGCAGCGCCUGCAGCGGCCCGGCCUCGUCGCCGUUUGAGAGCGGCGGUGCCAGCAACCUCAGCAGCCCGGCGGCGGAGGCGCGGCGGCUGCCGCCGCUGCAGCUGCCGCCGCCGCCCGGCUGCCCCUCCUCGCCAUCACCCAGCAGGCAGCCAGCCGGCGAGGGUGACGACUGUCAGGGCGACACCGGGUGCGCAGGCCUGCCGUCAAACGGCAGCGGAGGGGGCGGCAUGAGGCAGCCCGAGCCUCCAGUGCUGGGGCCGCCGCCGGUGGGCUCCAGGACCGGUCGGCGGCGGUCCGUGGAGUGGCUCAGUCCGUUGGGCCGCCAGAAUAGCGACCUGCUUAGUCCCGUGUCGCCGGCAAUGACCAGCCGCGGCGGGGGCGCCUCGCAGCAGCUCAGCCAAAGGCCAUCCGACAUACCCAGUCCUCUCCGCCGAUCCAACACCUACCGCCAGGAGCCGCUGAGUCCGUUGGACAUGCCCGCGGCCGCUGGAUCCACCGGUGGCGGCAAUGCAGGCGGCAGCGGGGGCGCAAGUGGCAGCGGGGGCGGGAGUGCCAGAGCCAUCGGCCCGCCGCCGGCAAGCCGCGGACCCACUGAGAUGGGCAUCCUCGGCCCGCCCAGCCCAGUGUCGCCGCCCAUGCCCGUCGCCAGCGGCGCGGCGGAGUGGUCCUACAGCGGUGCCUACCCGAGCUCGCAGCCCUCGCCCUCAACGCUGACGUCCCCCACCGCCGCUUCGUCCCAGCACAGGCGUCCUCCGCAGCGGACUCUCAGCCUCGUCGGUCAAAUGGCGGAGCGCCUCGCAGAGGAGCGGAGGGCGGCGCAGCUGCAGGAGCUGGCAUCCGCCUCGGCCUCGGGCUACGGCACAGCACGCUCGCUGGCCUCACCCGGCGGCGCCGGUGGAGCCAUGUCGGGCUCAUUCGCCGCCGCUGCUGCCGCUGCAAACAGCGGCAGGGGCUCGCACACGGAGCCGCAGCUGCAUUUCGGCGACAGCGAGGACGGCGAGAGUGGCCUGGGCGCUCCGUGGGACGUUGGCGCCAGCGCCAGCGGCAGCAGCACCGCCAACAUGCGGUCCAUAAGCAGCAUCAACGGCAUGGGGUGGCCGGCGUCGGGAGGCCCUUCGGGGCUUGCGGCUGACGUCAGACGUGGCACACACACCGGGCAGCAGCAGCUGCCACGCGCCAGCAGCGACGCACACGGGUCAGGCGCGGCGGGCGCGAUGGCGCGCGCAAGCAUCCCGCCUCUCCACCUGGGGUCGCACGAGGACGCCGGUUUCGCGGCUGCUAUGCUGCAGGGCGUACCGACCUCGCGCCCUACCUACGGCGGCAAUGCGCGAGCGAUGCCAGUGCUCACGGACGCGGCCGGCAUGAACGGCUACAUGCGGGAGCGGCUGCUGGGUGCUGGAGGCUCCGGCACCCAGCAGCCCCCGGCGGAGGCGCUGUCGCCGCAGGCGGGCCUGCCGCCGCAGCUGCAGCUGCAGCACCCAAGCAACAAGUUCCUGGCUGCAGCGGCGGCAGCUGCUGCCUCAACUGCGGCGGAGCUGCAAGCGGAUGCCCAAGCUGCUAGUGCUGGUGCUGCUGCCGGUGCCGGUGCCGUGGCGGCGCCUGGAGCAGCUGCACUGAGUCCGCAGCCGCCAGCGCCGCGCACCGAGCCGCGCCCGCCCCUGGGGGGUGAGGCGUCACGACUGCGGCUGCCGAUGUCAGCGCUGAGCGCGGCUGCCGCGGGCAAGGCUUCGUCCACGCCUGCUGCCGGAGGCGCCGGUGGGCGGUAGCUGCUGGCUGGGCUUGACUUGAAUGUCCAGGCAUAUAGCAUCUGAACUGCAACUUUUGGGGAGUCAUUGAAAGCUCCCUUCACGAGCUGAGGCGGCUUUACCACGGCAUUAACAGCGACAUCACUGUCACAUGCAUCCUGCACUCACCAUACUUGUGGUACUAUAGGCCUGGUAAGUGCCUUGGUACUUGUAAUUCAUGAUACGAUAGUAUUACCUUGACUUGCUAUCAUGAGUCCUUCGUAUACCGCUUCAUUGCACACCUGGGACAAUUCCCGGUUUGCGUUGCUCAUUAUUCAUCAGGUGAUCAGGUGUGUCGGCGGGCACAUCGUGGAAGGUUGCGCGGAGGGCUUUGGCCAGGGGUGCAGCAAGAACUGGAUACCGCGCGCCGUGCUGUGCCGGUCGCAUUUGCCCGCGGGUGUCGGAUGAGUUGCAGCUGGUUGCCGGUUUUAGUAUGACGAGCAGGAUGCCACAACCUUUUGCAAUAGCAUUGGCCUGCUGCAAAUCAUGUACGGUGCGCAUCCAUUUGUAUGCGUAAUACUUGCGCUCUAACAGCUGAAGUGGUGCACGGGGUUCAUGUCAAGCAUGGCAUCGCCAAUUAGCGCCGACUUGCAGCUGCUUGCGGGCGGAAAGGAGGGGGAGUAGGAGGAGCGGGCGGCGCAGUCCGCCGUGGCGGGAUGCCACGCAGGCUGUGCUUCAUGGGCCGGCUGCAUGGGGCUCGUAGCACGGGCCUUGGCGCACAACGCCCGACCCUGUGUUGUUGUUAAGAGCUGUCGCAGGUCCAUUUCAGUAGAGUGCCCGAACGCGUUGGAUGCGACAAGACAGGGCAAGGGGCAGAUUGGCGUAAUCCCGUAGUGUGCAGACCUAAUGCGUUGGGUAUGACCCCAGUCGUGUCAUUCUGCCGGUUGUGCACGUCUCCACCACCGGUCCCUCCAUUACGGCGCCGUACAAAGCCGGCAGAAUGACACGACCGCAGCAUGGGCCGCCUCGUCGCUGCUGCCGCCUGUGGCUGACCUACGCCGGGUGUCCGACACAUUGGCAACAGCCAGCCAGCGCAGCGGGGGGCGAUGCGGGCGCCGGGCGAUGCGGGCGCCGGGCUGCUCGCCCAAUUGCAGGAGGCGAACCAGUUGAAAGACAGCGCGACCGCAUUGCUCAGGCGGUGCGGAGCCCUGGCCGCUGGUGCGGCCGCCACGACAGCCAAAAGCCCACACCCUAGAUCCGGAGUCUGUUGCGUGGCUGGCGUGCGUGUCAAGCUUGUGUGCGGCAUGGUGGCGGAGGCGAUUGCAGCGGUGCGGGCGGCGCGGUAGAUGCCUGUCCGCACGGAAAGACCGCUCACCCCGUCACACUGGCCCCCGCCAUGGACGCCUCCGGCACAGCACCCCUGCGCCAGAGGCACUGCCACCCUGGCACCCCUGCCGCUUACUGCUGCAUGUCCGAAGUUCAGGCAGCGACAGGAGCCCAGUCUCCGGCCCAGCGGGUGGACAGUAUGCGGGCGACAAGGCAGUGCCGCAGCCAGGCACUUGGGGCAGUCUUGGUGGUUGUAGGGUUGCUGACAGCAAACUGAUUGUACACAUGGACCCAGGCAGGCUAGCUCGCUUGCUUGUCCUUUGUCCUUCAACAGCGCACGUCUACGGGCCUGAUUCGGCUCCGUCGCAGCGUGCCAUGCCGUUCCAACCAAGGGGGCCCGCCAUAAGUAUCACUCGGCAGACCCAAAGCCGGACCCAUGUGCCGGACCUUGAUCCAGCCCGUAGCCUUCCCCUAUCGGCAAUCCACACGCGCCAACACACCAAUUUCUCCUUGACCUUGCAUCCUGCCUUUCGCUCCUGCACAUACUGUACUGUAGCCAAUUCGCGGCCUGGCGCUUGCACACGCAUGCGCCGUUGCUGGCAGCUCGUGUACCUGCCCACCCGGUGAUGCUGCCGGCUGCGCCACCCAAGCCCACAGUGCGUAAUCCCCACACACAGCACUACCAACCCAGGCGCCUAUCAAGUUGUCUAUGCUCCCUCAUCCACACAGACCGCCAACUGGACUGUAGCUUGACUUGCCCUUCCUAUGGCACUGACCCUGAUGUCUCGUGGCCUAACCUGUGGCCACCAGUGCCUGCCGCACGCUCCCCAGCAUCCUUAAUCCGCACCGACCGCCUCCGUGAUCUACCUGGUUUCUGUUACCCCAUGCUCGUGGGCAAACGGGUCUGGCUCACGCGAAGCAGGACACGAACGCGCACACGUGCCACAGCAAGUCCAGCAUGCGCCAAGAUAUGGCCGCUCCGCGGCAACUUGAACCACACACAGCCGCCGACGCCACAGCUCUGCCGCUCCGUACCGACGGCGCCUCCGCGGCGCCCCGGACCGCAGCUGCAGCCGCCGUCCCUCCACACACCUGCACAUGCCGCGCUUCCAUGAUCCCGCCGCCGCAACCCUAACAGCCUGCAGGCGCGGCAUUAUCGCCGCGCCUGCUGCACCUGGCCCCAGGCAGCUAGCCCGGGCCCUCAGCCUCUGCCUCCGCCUCCGCCUCAGUCGCUGCAGCCGCCAGCAGCACACACGCGUCCUGCUUUGCCUGCUUAGGUGACGUUGAAGGUCUUCUUGAGCUUGAUGACCACGCGCCAGUCGUCCUUGGUCAUCUCGUCCUUGAAGUACUCCUUGAGCGCGUCAAUGGACUCGCGGCUGAUCACCGACACCUGCGUGUGCGCGUGUGCGUGCACAGGAGGGCGUGUGGGCAGGAGACGUGCGUGUGUGUGUUCCGAGGGCGUGUAUGUGCAGGUGGGCGCAUGUGUGUGCAUAUACAGGAGGCGUGUGUGCAGAAACGUGUGUGCGGACACGAAGUACAAACAGGCGGGCGACAUUGUGCGUGCGCGCGCGCUUGUGUGUGUGUGCCCCACGCCUUAUCCUCCAUCUCCUCAUCCUGCAGCUGCUGCUCACCAGCUGGUGGUUGUGGUCGAAGUGGCGGCCGUACAGACGCGCCUUCUCCUCCGUGGUCUCGCCCUCGAUCUUCAUGGCCACACUCUCACCCGCGCGGGCCUUGUCCACCGUCUGCACAGCGAGGGGGGCAGGUGGGUGGUGAAGGCAGGCUGCGCGGGCAGGCUGGUUGGGGCAUGGGGCUCGACCCCACUCUUCCCCUAUGUCUGCCACUCUUCCCCUAUGUGUGAUCCCACAGCAAAUGCACAGGCAGUUCACCAAGGCAAAACGACAGAAUUCUGCAACAUCUGCCUCCUGCCAACUUUGUCUGACACCGCCCUCGCACGGAUCCGCACCUUGUGGUUGAUCUCCAUGCCCGCGAUGCGGCCCAGCUCCACGGCGCCGGUCUCGGUGAUGGCCGCCACGGGCGUGCCGAUCUUGGCGAUGCCCUCCACGAUGUCCACUCCCACCACGAUGGGGUCCUUCUUGUUGAACACGCAGGUGGGCAGGAUGCGCAUCACCACCGGGAACACGGCCUGAAGGGCGGGUGGGGUUGGGGCGGGAGGGUAGAAGGGAGCGGGCAUGACAUGUUAGGCGUGGCAGCGAUGAUGUACAUUGGAAAAGACAAGAGACUGGUUGAAAGAAAGGAAACGGGUGAUAAUUGAGGAGGCGAUGGCCUUCCGGGCCCACAAGGGCGAGGGGUGCACUUGACGGAUGCAUCUGUAGCCCAAACACGCGCAUUCCGCCCUCGCUCCCCCCUUCACGCUCACCCGGAAGCGCGCCGCCUCCUGCUCCGCGCUCCUGAUCUGUUUGACGUACGCGGUGAACUGGUCGAACAGGUGGUAGAUGAUGUCGGCGGUGAAGAUCUUGACGCCGUAGUCCUCAGCCAGCUCGCGAGCCUGCGAGGAAAGCACGUGGGGACAGCAAGGGCGCGUUUACUGAUGUCAAGCCACAACACGAAUGAAACGACCGACCCAAUGUGUGCACUCUGGGCAAGCAAGUGGCACCUCGUGACCCCGCCAAUGUGUGUGGAGGUUGCGAGGGCGAGCCUGCCCCUCCUGCACGCCCCUCCUGCCCUCGCCUGCUCCCAGAUUCACGCGGAUGGGACCUACUACUAUUUGGGCUAAAGGAGUACAACUUCCGGCCCCCCUGCCCCAUCCCCCCGCCUCCCGCUCACCUCCUUGUUCACGGGCACGUCAAACGCCAGGAUGCAGGCGUACUUGGGGCACUUCUUCUCGUUCAUCACGUUGGCUCGCAGCACGUCCUUCUUGUGCACCGGCCCGAUGUUAAUGCCCGACACGGGGAUGUUGCCGCCGUCGUCAGAGGACAGGAAUGUGAGCAGCGCCUCCAGGGAGCCCAGCGUGGAGGCCUGAGCGCGGGGGUGAGGUGGUGAGGGUGCAGGGUGGGGAGAUGGGGUUGUAGAUACCAGCCCAAACUGAACCGAACCUAAUGCAACAGAGCGAGGAGGAAAGCGUGGCCUAUGCUUCGACAACGGAGUGGCACUCGACAGUCGUAAGGAAAGUGGUGGGUAGGUUGGGCAGUUAGGACAGGGUGGGCGGGGAGAAGGAUGAGGUUAGGUAAGGACAGGGUGGGCGGGGAGAAGGAUUAAGUUAAGGUGUGAAGGCAGCAGAGCGCGGGUUGCGGGCAACUCGGGAGGGGUAGGAUGGAACGUUGGACUGGCGGAGGCGAGGUCAUCCGGGCACACAACACCGCCCGCCUCGUACCUGCCCUCCCUGCCCUCCCUGCCUGCCCGCUCUCACCUGCACGCACACGCCCUCUCCGCCCUUGUCGACCUUGGAGAAGAUGUCGGCCAUGUCCUCCAUCACCGCGUCCUUGAGCUCCUCCUCGUCGUCCUGAGGGGGACAGGGAGCGAGGGGAAGCGAGUGUGUGUGUGUGUGUGGGAAGGUGGGUAGGUGGUGGAGUGGGGGAAGGGAACAGGUGGCAUCAGAGGCCCCGGUUGCGGUGCAGCAGCCGCGAUCUGCCGCCGCUGGGCCCACACACACAGGUGCUGUCCUCAUGCACACACGCACACACGCACGCACCUCGGGCUGCACCACGAACAGGCUGGUUCCCGCCACGGCCGUCUCUAGCCCCGGCGCCACGAUCUUGACUCCCAUGGCGGCGCGGAUCUCCUUGUGGUCCAUCAGGCUGCCCUUGAUGCGCAGCUCGCGCAGCACCUGCACAUAAGGCGUGUUUAGGAGUGAGUGCGUGCGUGAGAGUGCGUGUGCGGGCGUGUGUGUUAACGAACACAAGGAAAAUAAUACGCGCAGGACAGUGUGUGUGUGUGUGUGUGUGUUUGUGUGUGUUUGUUUGAGAGCGCAAGGUUGGUGUUUGUGCAUGUGCGAGUGUAAGGGCAGAUGUGAGCACAAGGGUCAAUGUUGCAACACGCACACGCCACUACCGUACCCCCAUCCCCCCCAUCCCCUCCUAGACUCUUUCACACGCUACAUGCACGCACGCAGCUCAGCCCAGCCCGGCUCAGCCCGGCCCGCACCUGCGGCGUUUUUAGCGCUUUGAUGCGCGUCACCAACGGCCCUCCCAGUCCGCACACCACGAUCUUGUCCCCCUCCUUGAGCUUGCCGUUCACCAGCACCACAUCCACCGUGGUGCCCAGGCCCUCCAUGGUCUUCACCUCCAGCACUGCAACACAGGAUGUGUGUGUGUGUGUGUGUGUGUGUGUGUGUGUGUGUGUGUGUGUGUGUGUGUGUGUGUGUGUGUGCCUUAAUGCCUGACAAGCAUGGGGCGCCACCCCAUGUCCCCACGACCCUACCACGCCUCCUCCCGAACUAAAACACCCCACUCAAUCCCACUUGCCAUUCGCCAUGCGUACCCUCAUCGCGCCUGCCCAACCCGCCGCCACCACCCAACCGAUCCUCCCCGCUUCCCCCCUCCACCUCCCCAGCAGCUCACCCGUGCACUGCGUGUCGGCCACAUACAUGAGCCGGUCGCCCAUCAUGGUCUGAGUCAGCUUCACGAUGAGUUGCAGCAGG
rnacentral:lncRNA from 1 species